rnacentral:lncRNA from 1 species
ACGGCGUCUCUACAACGAGAAAGAAGCUCAUGUUUGCGAUUAAGCUGGUGAAAUGUCUCCUCAGAGGAUUGUUAUUGCUGGUGAAGCAGUGUCUUCUUCCUGCGCCAGAUGGAAUGCAUGUGGAAGAUGGGUACUCACUGAAAGGGGAUAUUCUACCUAAUGGCAGUCUCAUGCAAGCCUGUGUCGAUUCGAAGCAUCAACUGGUAACUGGGAAACAACCAGAGUUAAAGCAUCCUUUUUUGCUAUCCUACAGUGAUUGGAGUAGGGCAGAUGCAGCACUCGGUGGGUAAGCUGUCACAGCAGGACCAUUAUUGCUCUCAUGUCUGGCCUUCCUGAUCUGUAAGAAGAGUGCAGAGGGCCAUGGCGUGAAAUAUAUGAAUGGAAGGAGGUGAGGUGAGGUGAGCUUUAUGUUCCACACAAGGUUCCUGAUAGGCCUCACUCGCCAACUCCGGUGGCCAGCUCAUUCCAACCUUCUUUUCCCUCACUCCACUACAAAGCGCACCCCCCACCUCACCUCUCUCCCUCUCUGUCAUCACCUCCCAUCGAGCCAUCGACACCAUCCAUCCCCAAUGGCCUCCUCACCCAUGCUCAUUGGCCUGACCACAUUUCUCCUCCUCACCGCGUCCGCCCUCUUCGACCAAGCCGAGUCCAAGGUGGCUCCCGGUCCUAAGCCGGCGCCGCUCAACCUCACCGGCAUUCUCGAGAAGGGCGGGCAGUACGGCACCUUCCUUCGCUUGCUGAGAGAGACGCAGGUAGGGGAGCAGAUCGAGAGCCAGCUGAACAACUCCUUCAAUGGCCUCACCAUCUUCGUCCCCACCGACAAUGCCUUCAGCAACCUGAAAGCCGGCACGCUCAACAGCCUGACGACCCAAGAGCAGGUGUCGCUGGUCCUCUACCACGUCCUCCCGAGGUACUACAGCCCAACCACCUUCGAGACCACGAGCAACCCGGUGAACACGCAGGCAUCGGGGAGGAGCGGCGUCUACACCGUCAACAUCACCAGCACCAGCAACCAGGUGAACGUGUCCACCGGGGUCAACGAGACGCCCAUCAACACCAACCUCUACUUGGAAUUCCCGUUGGCGGUGUUCUCGGUGGACAAGGUGUUGCUGCCCGCCGAGCUCUUCGGGGCUAAACCUCCCGCGUCAUCACCGUCUCCGGCGGCGACUCCGGUGAAGCCUAAGAAGAGUGCUCCGGCAGCUGACGGGCCUUCCGCGAGCGCCGACACAGCGCCUUCUGCGGCUACUCGCAAGGGAAGGAGCGUGGAACGGGUCCUGCUUCUGGGGAUCGGGUUGGCGUGCGUUGGGAGUCUUCUCUAGGGAGUCCAUUGACUGCAUGGGACUGUGACUGCGUCGUUGAUCUCUUGGGUGUCUGGUUUGCCGUUGUCAGUAAAUUCCUGCAUGCAUUUGUACCUUUUAUUUCUACCAUUCAUGAGUUAUUUUAUUUGCUCUGUUCAAAAAUAAUAUUUUCAUCAUCACUUAUGCAAUAAUGACAUUUUUGGAUCAAUAAUCACAACCUCAUAACUUAUUAUGAUAUCUUAAUUACAAUAUCAAUUGGAUGAUUAAAAGCUUAAACUGUUUGGAAAGUGUCCCAUCUAUAUUAAAUUCCAAAAACGGACAAUUAAUUUCAAUCUCUCCACUUUUUUGCCUUUCCCCUGUUCCGCUGCAACCACCAUUCACAAGGACGGAGAGGCCGCAACUGCUGUCCUCUCCGGCGUCCCACCGACCACGGCAUUAAUUAGUGCAUGGCCCACGAACACGUCGUCUCUCUCUUGGUGGAUUACCGAUCACCGGCCCAACGCACGACCCUCUCGCGCAGAUCUCUCCAUACAUUAGAAAGCAUAAUGUAUCUGUGGCGUGGACGGCAAUCAUUGAUGCAGACCUGAGGUCCCGUCCAUGACGAUCACUGCUCCUGGUCCUACUCUCCCCUUCUCCUCUCGAUGCUGCCCUCUCCCACACCAAGUUUGAGAAUGAUGAAUGCAUACAUAAGCGAAGGGCCUGUGGGCUGAUAUAUUGCAUUUAACCUCAAUAAUACUGAUCUCUCUCUCUCUCUCUCUCUCUCUCUCUCUCUUUUCCCUGACUGAAUAGUGUGUUGGACUUAGGAUGAUAGAAAAGGGAUAAAGGCUUUUCUGGCAUCUUUGCAGAAAUUGAAGGUGCUGAUAUCCACACGUCCAGCGGCUUUGAAAUAUAUUCUGCUGUCAACAUAACCAUGCAAGGAAACAGACAUGCCAUUGGUGACAAGAUCUCUCUUUUCCCCAAGGCUUACUUCCUCCUCGUUUUACUCUUUCUUUUCUCCUCCGACUCCUCUUACAUAUUUGAGACGGAGCAGUACUUUUUAUUGUGGCGCCCUGCAGAGGAAUCUCAUGUCGGAAAGGAUGUGGAAAGUGGUCGCCAUGCCUUGGGCAAGGAGAGAAUAUCCAAGGGCUUUACAAGACUUCAAAUGCUAACCUCCAAAUGCUUUGGAGUAAACAAAGAUCCCAACCAUGGAUAUCACAUGAAAGACCUGUUUGAUUGUAGUUAAUCCAUGCACUGCAGUCAGCCCGGAGGCAACGCAUCAGAGCUUAGGCUUUUUUCUAGCUGAUGUCUCCUUCCACAAGAAGAAUCAAAUCAAUGGAAAUGGAGAUGUCAUGUGCAUUCCGAGUCAUCUACACUGACGCAAAUUAUAAGCAUCCAAUAGCACGCACCAUGCAACACGAUCAAUCAAAACAGUGGAUAAAUUCCCACAAUGCUUUCCUGUACAUCGUCCCGAACAGGGUUUCAUGUGUCUUCGGUACAAAGCAACACCGACGAACUGAAAGGAUGGAUACAAGUGUGGAAAGAGAUGGAGUUCAGAGAUCUGGAAAGAGUCGAUAAGCUUGCAUGGCAUUAUUCAUGGACAAGUAUUCCUUCUCUGUCGUAUACGUCGUCGCAUGGCUAUGGAGUUCCUACAGCAUCCAUGGUGGUAGCACGUGCAUGAGUAGUCCUAAGGAAUCAUAGGACGGAGACUGCACCGAUGUUAAGUCUAAUGAGGAUUUGGUCUGUGUGAAACCGUGUAAUUAGUCCCUUAAUUCAUGCCUUGGACCUCGGAAACACACAUCGAGCUGUCUGGUACGCCACUCAUACAAUAAGCUUACCUCUUAGAAAUGAGUGUCACCCGAAGGAACGAGAGAGAGGGUUUGUGUUAGAUACAUCGGCCAAAGUCUUCUUCUCAACGUUUACUAUCCAUAAAUAGGAGUAGGAAAGUUGGCAAUUGUCUUUAGGGAAGCAGAAGGAGAAGAAAUGGCCGGAGAAGCAGUUUCAAAGGCCUCCCAACCACUAAAUCCAUGUCCUGAUCCCAAUCUUCCUCCUGUGGUCAAGAAAAAGAGAAACCUCCCAGGAACACCAGGCAAGCAUCCAUGACUAACACAUUGGAAUGGAGCCUCUCUCCUCUCUUCUCUCUUCGAUGGUAGUUUCAGCUUGACUAAGCUCUUUGUAUCAACAGAUCCUGAAGCAGAGGUGAUUGCGCUCUCCCCGGGAACCCUCUUGGCCACCAAUCGAUUCCUGUGUGAGAUCUGUGGCAAAGGCUUCCAGCGAGACCAAAACCUGCAGCUCCACAGGCGAGGCCACAACCUACCAUGGAAGCUGAAGCAGAGGAGCGGCAAGGAGCCGAGGAAGCGGGUGUACGUGUGCCCGGAGGAGAGCUGCAUCCACCAUAACCCCGCGCGGGCGCUUGGUGAUCUCACGGGCAUCAAGAAGCACUUCUGCCGCAAGCAUGGCGAGAAGAAGUGGAAGUGCGACAAGUGCUCCAAGCGGUACGCCGUGCAGUCCGACUGGAAGGCCCACUCUAAGACUUGCGGCACGCGAGAGUAUCGCUGCGACUGCGGCGUCCUUUUCUCCAGGUAUAUUAAUUGCCUCAUCUUUUGCUACGCGUUUGGAUUGAUCUAAAGGCUGUUCGCCGAAGAGGAAAUCCAAUUGGAUUAAUUGGAAGUUUGUCUCGAUGAACAGGAGAGACAGCUUCAUAACCCAUAGGGCUUUCUGUGAUGCUCUGGCUGAAGAAACCGCAAGAGUUUCAGCAGCAUACACCAUGACGAACACGACGUCGAUCGGCAGUGUCGAUUCUCUUCUUCAAGAUGGUGCAAUGACACCCAACAUAUGGAAACAUCUUUCGCCAAAUCUUAAGCCAAACAUUAUGGAUCGUGAGGUUGGUCAGCAGGAUAGACACGGGUGUUCAUCGUGGAUGGGCCAUGGAGGUCAGCUCGAUAAUGCCUUUGAUGGAACUACUGCUAUGUCUGAGAUCAACCAAGCUGGGUUGGUCGACAGUCAAUUGAGUUGGAUCCAUUUCAACAAGUUGUCGUCAUUGCCAACUUCAAACACUUUGAAGCCUCUCACGGGAAGCGUUCCUUCCUUGUUUACUUCGCUGCCUCACCGUCCUGCUCCCGAUAUAUCUGCCACGGCAUUGCUGCAAAAGGCUGCACAAGUCGGCGCGAUCUCCACCACCCCAUUCUCGGGGAGCUUUGGGCUGCCCGAGUGCCAGAACACAAGCGCCGGUGACGGCAGCGUCUUUGAUGGCUUGCUCAUUCAUGAAUUCGCUGCGUCGAACACGGACGAGGUAAAUUACAUCACAAGGAGCCGCAGCAUGCUAAGAGAUUGUCUUGGAGGAGAGACCCGGGACUUCUUAGGAGUCGGGGUGCAGACUCUUUGUCAGCCAUCAGCAAAUGGAUGGAUCUGAGCCUGCUCGAGGGUGGACGGCAACAAGAAAGAGAUGACGGGGAGGAGACAGGUGGUGAUUGAGUAGUACUGCUUGCUCUACGGGAAGACGAAGUCAUCCGAAAGUAGCAGCUGCUCCUUGAAACGGCUGCUUUUGUUUGGAGAAGAAAGGUGGGAGUGUUGGGAGACGAGGAACACCUUCCCCUUCAUUUCCAUUACUGCACUAAGCUUCAUUUCUUUCAAGGUUGUCUUUAAUGUAAGCUGGAAUUAAGUGCUUCUAGUGGCACAAUGCAUGAAUUUUUCUUUCUAAAUAUAUUUUUUUUGACAAGUCCAAAAAUGGCACAAAGUUGUCUUGGCAAGUCCAAUUAAUUUAUUUUGCAUUAUAAUUACAAAUCAAGAAAAAUAAAAUAUAUAAAAUUAGAGUAGGAAUUAAUAUAGGAAUAUUUCUUCAUAUUUUUUCCAUCAUAUUUUUGCACCACCUUUUUUUAAACAUUUCAUAUUUCUUCUUUCAUUACUUUUUAUUAAUUAUUUUGAGAAGAAAAAAAGAUGUAGGAAAACUAAACCAGAUUUCUAUUCGGGAUCCUCUCCAAUUCAAACAGAGGAUCGUCCUGUUCAAUUGGUCUCAUCAUCACUCUUCGUCCUUCCACUUUCACAUCCUAUCCAUCCAUUUAUCGCAUAGGGAACGUGGCCGGACGGUUUGGUGGAGACGAUCCCUCCCUCACCUGCAGGCCGUCUCUUUAUGUGCUACAGCGUGAUAAUAAUGAGAAGAAAUAUAACAAGCAGGUGGCCGCCGAAACAAUCAAGAAAAGCCCGACCUUGCGGAGAAACCCGCUCGAUCUUUUCUCCUCGCUUGAAUUCUCCGGAACUCCCAAGAAUCCGGCCGCGUCGAGACCGGACGAGGACGAUGGCCUGCAAACCCAUCGCCAACAGGCUCGGGAAGGAGGCGGGCAUCCACCCCGAGGUUCCGCCGCUUCAUCGUUACCCUCGAUCAGGUCUUCGAAUCUCUUCCCCGUUCUUCCCCCAGUUUUCGAUUCCUCCGACUAGGGCUUCUAAAUCACCUUGACUUCGUUAUGUUAUUAUGUUCGUGUUCUAUUUCUUUGGUUGUUAAAUCAUCCUGAAACGUAUGACUUGAAACUUCGUCCAUCAAUCUAGAGAGCAAUCGUUGGAACUAGAAAUUGUGACUGAGGUUUGCUGUUUUAAUACGUUAUUCUAUAGUCGAGAGUGCUGUGCAUGAACUGUGCCAUCUAACUAUGUGUAUAAGCGAGGGAUCGAAAUAUGUUGUGCGUAAACUGGGCGGAUCAACUUAUGGAUGAAAGGAAGAAAGGUGUCAUCUUCCUGCUCGCUAGCAUUUCCAAUUGUUACUUGAAUUAGUAACUUAUGAUUGAGAAUUUUGACCUAGAAAUAAUCCAAAUCAUUAAGGUAGUUAAGACAAUGUCUUUUUUUUUCUUUUAACUAAAGAAUGGGAAGAUAGGAGACUCAGAAUUAUGGUUUUCAAAUGAUGAUAAGAAACCUAGACAUUGAGAGGUAAGUGCAUAAAUGCCUGGCCAUUGUGUUUGUAUCUGUUGCAUCAUUUUUUGCUGCUGAUCGGAUUACCCAAUUGAUCGAAAGUAAAGGAAUUUUAACAUGUGCACUCUUGAAUGCCGAAAGAUUAUGAACCAACUGGGAACAACCAUUUUAUUGCAUUAUUCUAGAUAUAUUGAUCUUGGUCAAACUUUGAUAGUCCCUCAAAAUUUUGGUCUCAAGUGUGGACAUGUAGGUAUAUGAUCUUUGAAUGGAUAGAACGCUAAUCUGCUGAGGCUCGUACAAAUUUGAUAGGAUUCAGUCUAAUUACCUAAUUACUGAGACUUAUUUUUCCUCAAGACCAGGAGAGAUACCAAUCGUUCUAGACUAUUACUUUAAUAUAACCGGUAAUUUAUAGAACCAAUGUAGACAGUCCAGAAGUAUUUUUUUAAUUACCUAAUUACUGAGACUUAUUUUUCCUCAAGACCAGGAGAGAUACCAAUCGUUCUAGACUAUUACUUUAAUAUAACCGGUAAUUUAUAGAACCAAUGUAGACAGUCCAGAAGUAUUUUUUUAAUUGUGUAACAGUAAUAUAUUGUUGGGUCUUUUUAGUCUGAGAUAUGCAAGUCUAUGUGAAGUUCAUCGCCAUUGGUUCCAAUAGAUGUGCUUUGAGAGUAGAGGUAGGACUUCCAACAGAAAGAAAUACAUUGGCAAAUACAAGGUGUAAUUAUAGAUUACCCCCUAUAGUUAACUAUGAUUAAUUGAUGGGCGAGCAAUUUGGAAAGAACAGGAGAAGAGAAAAUCAGUAAAGUUUAUAUAAAAUUAAUAAUUUAAAAGAUAAUGAAAUUAUUUUUUUAUCCUUUCCGUUCGUGUUUUUUCGCAAGUGACAACACGUGCGAUUUUUUCCAUCGACGAAGUUAACGACGUAAGGAGAAUUGAAGUUAAAUAUUUCACCUUCGUAAGUGUAGGGAUCCCAAUGCUACUUUUUAAAGUAUAAAGACUGGAAUGCUAAUCAUAAUUAAUUAUAGAGGGUAAUCUGUAAUUACCCCCAAGUCCAAGAUUAAGGAUGUGUGUUGAGCUAAUUGGUUUAAACAGUAUUGUUUCACAUCCCAACUUAGUCUUAAAUUAAUGGUAGCAAGAGGUGUAGGUCUGGCCGGAACACUACCAGAUGUGCACCAACACUAACUAUCUGAAUGAGAGACUUUUCUCAAGUCAGGGCACAGAACAUUUUUCUUCCUGAUUAGCAUAUAGUAGAGUGUGGCAACUGAAUCAGAUUCUGACAUAUGAGAUGCUUUAACUUAUUUAACCAUUCUGAUUCUUAAAAAUAAAUUUGCAAUACUGGAUUUUCAUCUGGUGCACCUGUAAGUUUACAAGACUAUAUAUUCAUCAAUCAUAACAAUCAUAUAUAUUGAUUCAAUGGGUCAAUGGUUUGACUUAGAUGGAAAUAAAAGUAGUUAUAUGUAGUAACAGAACACUGGUUUAUGCAUGCAUUAGUUGGUUUGUAUAUACUAGUAUCAGAUUUUUGGGAAGAUGUGUUAUAUAUAGAAUUUGAAAUUUUCUCUUGAUAGCUGAGUAAUUGAUGGAUGACUAUCAUAUGGUAGACUACUGAUAAUCAUAAAUUGUUGUUCCUAGUAAUCAUAGUAAGGGGGAAAACAACUUCAACUCUAACCACCACACACCAUUUUGAUAUCUUUCAAAAUGUAUCUUUUGCAUGAGAACUUGUACAUAAGUGAAAGGGAAUAACUGUUGUUAUUCUUAUAAUGAUUUACCAAACUGGUGCACAAGAGCAACACGUAAAUAUUGUUUCGCAAAACAUAUUUUCUGAUCGGAAUUUACUUUCAAAUCUUUGAUAAGGAGAUCCACAUAAUAGAGUAAAAGAAUUAGUGUGACAGAUACAUUUUCGUAGACAAACUAUUAAAGCACUCAUCACAGUUCAUCCAUCAGGAAAAGUCAAGAAACAGAAGGAGAAAAUGAAAAUGUUACGCUAUUCUUGUAAUGACAAACAUCAUCCUUUGUGUUUAUAGAAUGAAACAGGUCCUCUGCUUUCUGGUCUUUUUCUUUGGCUUUGGUGGACAAAGAACCACCUUAAUUGCAGCAUCAAAUACAGCCUUCACAUUCUAAAAAAAAAAGAUGAGAAGUUAAUAUGAACUAUAUAAUAUAUUUCUAUUGACUAUUCUGAUUGUUUAAAAUGUUGUUAUAAGUCUAUCGGUCACAGGUGAGAUAUUUAAUGAUGGUUAUCGGUAUCUUAUAACAUUUCAAACUUGGUGUCCUUCCAAUAAAAACGAGCAUCCUAUUUUUCCUCUUUUUUUGAGUUCAAGUUAAGAACAUCGCAAUCAAUUCAUGCUAUGUAAAUUGUUAUCCCUCAGUGUCUGAAUAAUGACAUUGAGAAACUUCAGAAUUCAAAGUCUUAACAUCAAAAAGGCAUAAUAGGCUUGUUUGGAUCUUUCAUUACCUGUUGAGUCUUGGAACUACAUUCUGUGUAGACAGCCGCACCUAUCAUUUUCUUUAGCUCUUCUCCCUGCUUAUAGUCAAACAGUAUGCUGCACUUAGUUUAUGACUUGAUAAGUACCGCUUUAUAGACUGACUAGCAGUAGGUCAACUUGCCUGUGCAGUUGUGAUAGGUGUUGCCCCAGGGUGAUCAAUGAAAAAUUGCUUGUCUUCACGUAAGUCUGCACCGCAUUAAGACCAAGAUUAUACAACUUACUGACUAGUAUUUUGGAAGGUUAAACCUUCAAUUUGAAAUCAAAAGGGAAAUAGCAUCAUACUUUAAAGAUGACUUUUCAAAAGGGAAAUAGCAUCAUAAUAGGUUAUAUAGGUCAACAACUGAACUACUAAUCAACUUAUCAUUAAUUAGAUCGCCAAUGAAGCAGUGACCUUAUGACCUGAAUGGUUUGACUAUCUGAUGAAAGAUACCUCAGGUGCAUUAUAGAAAAUUCAAUUCAUGGAAAACCAUACUGGUCAACUUGUAGGUUGCAUCUAACUCCUUGUAUGCAAGUAGUUGCUUUCUUUUACUUUUUUUUUUGUUAGUUAAGUUUAUCUAGACAUAAAUUUCAAUUAAAAGAAUACAAUGUUAUUACCAAGUUUAGUCCCAACUAGCACAAUCGGCACAUUUGGAGCAUAAUGUCUCAACUCAGGAAUCCACUGCGAAAAAAAGAGAAGGUCAUGAGAUACAAAUAGAGGACACAAUGAUAUGCAUGAAAGCUGAAAGAAAACAUGCCAAGGGUAUUUAUUACCUUCUUGUAUAUGUUCUCAUAGCUGGCCUUACUGGUGAGAGAAAAUGCUAAAAGAAAUACAUCAGCUCCUCUGUAACUGAGAGGUCUGAGCCUAUUGUAGUCCUCUUGUCCUGAAUUCACAAUAUUGGAAAGCUAUUCCAUCUCAAUUUGAUUUCCUCAUGAGGUAUGAUUGAUCGAGUAUUUACUGUUUGUCUUUUAGAUUGACUAGUUAUUGUUGUCUUUUACAUUUAUACUUGAGAAUCUAAUGCUAGCAAAACUUGAUAUGAAAUAUUUUCAAUGUAUAGAAUUUAGACAAGAUGUUGAAAUGAUGGAGUACUACAUAAACAGAGAGGAAGAUCUACUACUUUUUCCAUCAAUAAUGAUCAAUUAACUAUCCCCAGGUGUUUGAUGAUAGUAAAGUAUAUACAAUUGUGGCUGGAUAUAGACGUAUUUGAACAAUUUUCCAGUUGAAAUACACUGUUAUCUUAUGCAAACUAUUUCUAGCUUUGCCAUAGACCAGGAGGACCAGAAUCUAUGGCCAGAUCGAUUUAGCACCAUAUAAGUAGGGCAAUUAAGCUCACCUGCUGUGUCCCAAAGCCCAAGGUUCACUGUGCUUCCAUCAACUAUUACAUUAGCACUGAAGUUAUCGAACACAGUCGGGACAUAAUCCUGUUAAGAACAGUCGCAACAAGAGAAAGCACAGCUGAAUUCUACCUCAUAACUAUGCAAAUUUUGCAGGUAAAAAGCUGAGCUUCCCCGUGUUACCGUCGGAAAAGUAUUGCUGGUGUAGGAGAUGAGCAUGCAGGUCUUCCCGACUGCCCCGUCGCCGACCGUCACGCAUUUGAUGAACCUUGCCGUGCUCAUCGUCGUAAUGGCACUGGUACUGUUUCUUCUUCUCCCUCUCCCUGGUGCUGAUGGUAUAUAUAUAUAUAUAUAUAUAUAUAUAUAUAUAUGUCGUUGUUCUCNNNNNNNNNNNNNNNNNNNNUAUAUAUAUAUAUAUAUAUAUAUAUAUAUAUGCGUUUGUCUCAGGCUUUAACCACCAUUGGGCCAACAAAGUAGGAAGGACAGAGAGGAAGAGCGAUGAAAGGUGGGGAUUUCUGCUGCAAAGUGUUUGAAUUUUGAAUGGGGGCCGGGGAACGUAGGGCGGACUAGGAAGUGGUGGUAGGAGAGGCCCCCUCCUCUUUAAUGAGGUGGGGAGCAGCGCCACCACCGCCAGGGGUGCACAGCUCAUGCAUGCUUCACGAAGGCUGAGCAAUGAUGGCCUGCUCCACACACCCGAUGGUGCUCUUUUGGUUUGCCUUGCUUUGGGUGCAAGAAGGAGCGCUAGGAUCAGCCAAUCUCCUUGGGCGUGAGUGUUGGUUGGUUGGUUAAGUGCGGGAGAAGGAUGGUGAUGAUGGGAUCAAGGGAGAUGGGUGGCCUCCUUUGGCUUGCUUAGUAGAAUUAAUUUUCCACCAAGUGAUCAUGAUUGCGUGGUCAUCCAAUCUUGGUGAGACCACUAAGUCCCUUUGGAAACUUGGGAAAGAAAAAAGGGGUGAAGCAACUCUUGGUGGGCUUAGGUAUAUCAAUUGCUUUUUUUAUGUGCAAAAAGUCUUCUGGACUUUUUAUUGCUCGUAUGAGAAGAAAUCCGAGUGGAAGUAUUGAGUACAUACCAUUCAUUUGCAACUAAAACUUCAUUAUAAUUGCAAGUACGAGUGAGUAUACAAAAAAAAAAAUUACGAAGUCGAAAUAUGGUUAAAUUUAAUAUCCCAGAGCAUUAUAGUCAUAUAUAAUGUGUGAUUUUAUUAAGUUUUAUUAUGAUUUUUGAUGAUAGGCAUGUAGGAAUCCGUCCUUGCCUUGCUCGCGGGUUGGGCUUUACAAUGGUUAUUGGAGGCAACCAGGUGAAAAGGCCCAGCCUCUCGACGAACAUGUGAACGGGUCGGAUCGUAGCCAUCACGGCCCGAUGCGGUAAUGGGACGCCUCACCAAGUCCUCGUAGAUAAAUGGAGGGUAGGAUGCCUGUUUUGUCCCGAUAAGAAUCCCCGUAUGAUUCAUCUCCGGCCGCCGAGAGGAUCUCCGAGAAGCGCUACGAUCUUGGAGGGGCCUCAAGGACAAGGCGCAGGUUUCUUCUCCUCCUCCUCCUCCUCCUUUCUCUCGCCAUCCUCUUCUUUUUUCUAGAGUUUCGAGUCGGUUUCUUUUUUUUUUCCGGUUGGUUUUCGAGGAAUGGCAGGCAGCAUGCGGUAAGCCUACGAAGGUGCAAACGGAGAACAACUCACGCCGCGGUUUUUGAAAUUAUUGUCGACCCUUGCCAGCAAGUCCACGACCGCCUGGUUCGAUUUCAUCGAAGAAGACGAGGAUGGAGUUGGUCCCUCGCCCUUUUUCGUUUUGUUUCUGCUUCUCUUGCUUCUUCUUGGCAAUGGAAUCUGCUCACCCCAUCGUCGUUAGGGAUUGAAAGGUAUGGAGACAGUGGUUCCUACAUCAUGUGAUUAGUGAUAAUUUUGCUUCCUUAUGUUGCCCAAAGAAGUCACUGGAAAACCUUUCCCCACCUUCUCCUCCCCUCUUUUUUUUUUUUUGUUUCCGAGUCAGAAGGUUUUGAGGGUUUAUUCUCUUUGGUAUUUGUUAAAUAUAAAAGUAGAGGGGUGUUGUUGGUACGGCAUUUCUAUGCAUGCAAAGAAACAAACAUGUGAGAUUAAUAUAUGCCAAGUGUUGUCCAUAUUUUCUAUUUUGAAUACAGCUUGACAUACUCCUGUUGGUAUUGAAUACCGGUAAUUGUUUCGAUAGGUACAAGUCAUUCAAGCUGACUCGUUCUCAUCAUAUUGUUAUCAAAUCUACCUACCAAGCUUAUCCCAUCUGCGGGGGAGGCAAAAGAAGAAGAGGGCUUUAACACGCGUCGACAGACUCUAAAUGGCUGAACAUAAAGAGUAGUUACAUGUCCCCCCAAUGGCAAGUAAAAGUCAGAUAGACAAAAGGAACAGCCACUCAACCUUUGCUCUUUCUCACAAGAACCCAAGGAAUAAACAAAUGAUACCUUUACAGGCUCCGUCUCAUGAUCUCGUAUGAAAUUCCAACAUUGAGUGAUAUUUUGGCUACCCUUUCUUUCUAUAUGGCGAGUUGGAAAGACAGACACAUACAUACUACACAUUACUAUUUAUUAAUCUCGCCACACACACUCGUCAGCUCAACUGGUUGCACCACCGAUAAUCGCAGCAAUUGCAGAAAGCGCAGCCUGCUCAUGGAAGACCGUGAACCACCCCCACUCAUCAGAAAAACUUCAUAACUUUUGUAAAUUGUCAUGCUAAUUCAGCCAUUCCAUUUUAUGAUUGAUCAUCCAAAACACACAUUGUACAUACAGUAUGUAAGCUAUACAGUACAUUAUCCACAAGUAAUGUUGUUGACUGACAUAAACGGGACAUUGUGAAAGUGUACGCUCUGUUUAAGCAAUAAGAUCAAUAAUUCAAUGCGGCUACUCCACUUGAUCCGUCGUCAUCUAAAGUAAUUUGUUGACCCAAAAAAAAAAAAAAAAAGAAGAAAUAGGUUCACAAUAGAGUUUUGUGUCUUAAGAUCUCUGAUUUGAGCAACGCUCGUCUAUCAUAACCACAUUUUUACAAACCUUGUAAUUUCUCUAUCAUACAUUUACCGGUCUCAAUGCAGGCCCAUCUUUAGAUGCCACUGCCACAUGAUGAAUAGAAACCCUAAUGGAAUAAACUCGAUGACAUAGAAAUCCUCUUCUUAUCCAUCUCCAUAUGCAUACAUCAGUGCUCGAGUGGAUCAUAUGGUGGGAUAACAAAAAGGGUAAAACUCGAGCAUGAUCCACGUACAGAUGGUUCCUAUGCACAGUUGAGCAUGAUCCACCCAUCCGCUUAAGAAUUAAUUCAUCAAGCAAUUCUAAUGAGUGAAAUGUCUGAUCACGGUAAGCAUCGUCUAUAAACUCUCGACCAUCACACAUCUCCAUCUCAUUCCCUAAUUCCCUAGUUACGCUACGACGCAUACAACCAUUUUAUUUCUCGGAACCAUUGCUCUUCAAACCCUUCCACCUUCGAAACCUCUCCCUCUACCAAAUGUGGACUCAAUCGAUGACUAUGCCAAGUAAAAUAUUGAACACCAACUGAACCAUCUUGCUUCUUGAUUUCAUGUGGAUAGGAAUACAGUUCAAUCUUGGAUCCAUGGUGCACUAGCCUGAUCUGGUCCAAUUUGACCAACUUGACCAAAUCAGGUCGGAGCAGGAACGGUACCACUUAUCCCUGUUUCCAUCCCACCGGCAAAAAAAAUACCUAUCCCAACAAUUUAAUCUUUUUUUAAAAUUAUUAUACUGCAAAUAUAAUAGCAUCACACAUAUAUCAAUAAUCUUUUUAAAAAUAAAACAAAUUCAGUUUUAACCUUCGAAUAUGCCUUAGCAAAUGCCAACUUAUGAUAAUCUAGCAAGUAUAUCACUGAAGAUAAGUAUGAUAUUCACGAUCACUGAUAACUAAAGUUUACUGACUGUAAAGGGAAAAUCGAUUAACAUAAUGAAACAAAAACCACUUCAGAGGAAAUAAAAAAAAAACGUUUAGAAAAAUAUGGUAAAACAAUUUUCACAACUUCUUUAUAGAAAAAUUUACUUACUGCAAUUGUGCAAGCGACUAAGCCUGGUUUCUCUCUGUGGUCUACUCUGGCACAAAGUAGAAAAAACACGCCAACAUACCAUGGGAUCGCAGCCAGAAAGAAUCCAAUUAUGAACCUUCCAAAAAAGAUACUCUUCAUUAGCCUCAAACAUUCUAAGAAUUGGUAAUAUAUGUUUGAAAGACUGAAAUAGUUCAUGCAUUGUAUAUAUGUAGAUGUAGAUAUAUGUAUACACAUACAUAUAUAAGGAAAAAGCAAGAUUCACAUACAAAACCCAACCGAUGCCCAAGCCGCAGCAAGGGAGACUUGGCAGUGUCUCUGGUCUUCCUUCAACGACAUGUGCAUAACCUCGAAGAUAGUAAGCAUUAGAUGCAUUAGAACACAUCAAUAUGUCAAAAUAUCACAUGAACUAGGCACGAUGACCUAUAAUCUAGUUUGAUUACAGUUGAGCCAAGUUUAUAUCAAUGCUCUCACUAUAAAAAGCAAAAUGAAUAAAAUUGAUAUUCCAUUGCACAAAUAUAAACAUGCACCAUAAAAUUCAUGGCGAACUUCAAUUUCAGAGACAACAUCUAAACCAUUAGAAAUACACGAAGAGUCAUCAACACCGUCUCCGAUCUUUGCAGUAUCAAUCAGUCAGGAAUUCUAGAUGCAUAGAUGAAGAAGGCAGCACUAUCCAAAGCCUUCCUUGAUCCACAUGCGGAUCAACAUCCCAUGGCCCAUUCCGGUUUCGGUUUUGGUUUUGGUUCGAGAUUUUGCGAAACCGGAACCGUGGUCAGGGCUACACUGGUGAAUGACAGGAGGGAAAUCAUCCCCGGGGGAAACUCCAAUUUUUCUAUUGAGAAAAAAUAUAUAUUUUUUUUUUCUAUCUGCUGUUCUAUAAGCUUUCAUUUCAACAACAAGCAAAAUAUUCAGCUAGUAGGCCUAAUUCCUAAUCUUCAGCGAUGGCCCAGUCUUCCAGCAAUGAAACUUGACGGCACACCUCGCCCAUCGUCCAUGAAUUGUACUGGUAAAUGCCGUCGGAUUGGAACUAGGAAAGAGUGGUUAAGGCUUUCAGCGAAAGGAAAAAAGAUCUUGACACGAUUCCCGCAGGAUAAGAGAUUGGGGGUGGAAGUCACACUGGCUGGGAUCGAUAAGGGAUUUCUGAAGCGGCUGAUGCAUUCCAAUUCCCCACCCAUCCGGAGGCAAAAAAUGAAGAUCUCCUGAAACAUGCGAAUGAUGUUUAGCUCGCCAUAAUCCCGAUCAAUUGAAGCCCUAAAAGAUCUGUCAACCCUCUCCGCCGCCAUAAAUUCCCACAACCACUUCAGGAAAGGACAUACACCAGGCCGAUACCUCGAUCCGCAUUCCAAGAAACCAUCAUCCUCGACACCGAUGACUUACAAAUCCAAGAACCAAUUACCCACGAAAGACGAGACGAUUGAAGCAAAUCUAUCGGAAUGAAUUCAGAAUGCUGCUAUACCUGGGGCGGCCUGGUAGUCGUGGGCGUAAGAGGGAGGCAACGGCUGCUGCGGAGGCGCAGGGAAGGGAGGUUGAGCGGCGGUUAAGCCGGCCGGAGAGGCAGGAGAGGGGGAAUGGGCGAUUGUUAGGCCCGGCGGCGGCACCGGCAGGGGGAAGCCGAUGCUGGCGGGCUGGGCGUGGUCGGAGGCGCCAUGGAAGGUGCUGCAUUGCGGCUUGUCCUUGCUCUCCUCGCUCAUCUUCCCCCCUCCCCUUUCUUUUGUCGUGACCCCUCUCCGUCUCCUCUCCCCUUUUGCCUUCUUUCAUCUUCUUCUCUUCCUCCCGCCCUGAUUUAGACUUCCCCGAUUGCGUUAUUUCAGGUAACGCGCGAUGUGGCUUCGCGGAACCAGACGCCACUUCUGGCACUCGUUUAUCGAGUACCCCACUUCCCUACCUGCCUCUUCAUGGCACGUAGUGUUUUCGCAGCUCUGGGACCCACAAAAAACCAGUAAUCAAGUGAAACGUGGAUAAGCCAGGUACUCCAGAAACGGGUAGGAAAACCACGUCCGUCUUAAUCUCUAACGACGGUUUCAACGUCGCGCCACCGACAGAAGAAAUGACCCAUCCUCUUCUACCCGGUGGACACGCAACCCUAUUCCUUCCUCAUCUGUUCUUUUCUAGUGGGUCCCAGGUAAAUGAAAAGGUCAGCGUGGGUAAACAACGGGGUGGACCCUCUUUCGUGCGAGAACGCAAGUGGAAAUUAACGGGCCAAGCUGAGCCCACUACUAAUCCAACCCGAAACUUACGCCCGUCGAAAGGGUCUGUCUCUAUAUAUCCUCCACAACGUGCUGAACUCCAAUUUCAGGGCUGCAAUAAAAAUAUUGCUGAUGACAAUAAAUUAACAUGUUAAGAACAGCCGAGACUCCAACUUCACAUGGGAGACAAACCAUCUUGCAAGGGAUUAAUGUCAGUCGAAUUGACUCGGUAGGAAAGGAACUCAUCACCCUUUCUCUUUCUUCAACACCAUUCGCUUGACGGCACUUUCCAGCUUGUGUAACUCUCGCAGAUCGAGAGUAAUAGAUAGAUACGUCUCUAACCUCAGGUCGGUAAAAGGAUGUACAAGAGAAGACUAAAACUUCUCAGGAAAGAAUAAGAGCUUUAGCACAGAGUCAGCUCACUUUGUAACCCAAUGCUUUUUGGAAAGCUUAAUCUUUAUUGCAGAGCGUGUGUUACUGUCACGCGGUCUAAAGAUGCAUGAAAGUGGGUGAGUUGUUGUAAGUGUAAUUGGCAUCAACAAGGAGAACAUGUAUCACGAAGAAAAAGAAUGAGAGCAUAUAAUGGUGGAUGCCACAUUAAAAGACUCGUACUUCUGCCGAGACUUUGGUAAAGCGCAAGCGCAAGAAGCGCACACACACGGCCUGCUUAUGUUGACGAGAGGUAAAGCUCUCUCUCGUGAUGGGUUCCAACACAGCGCUUAAAAGAAAAACUCUCACGGUACUAAGACGCUCCUUGGUACGUCCCGUCCCAUAAAACUCGAGAGGAUGGCCGCAUAAAGGUACCAUCUUGUCCCUCGAGGAUCGAUCAUCACGUCAAAUCCGUGUACGAUCGAUCCUCGUAUAGUAAUAUAAAAACCCCUGACCGGCAUCUGGCCUAGAUGGAGGCAAAACAAACCAACCAAGCACUCACUUACUCAUGGGUCAAAGUCGGCAACCACCCGACGAGGGCCAUCUGUGCAGGAGAGCGACCACCCCCCGAGCUACCAACAUCCCGACGAAGAGCUGCCAACCAAUGUUCCAACUAAGAGCCGCCAACCAGCAUCCCAACGGAGAGUCGUCGACCAGCAUUCUGACCAAGAGCCGCCAACAAGCAUCCCGACCGAGAGACGCCAAUCAACAUUCCGAUGCUAACACCCCGUCUUGAGGGCAUAAUCGACCUCAGCAACCAGCUCAGCCGGUCAAAUGCUCCCGACAUCGACCCGUGGACCAGAUCAUGGUUGAUGACAACCACAUCAGUUCAUCAACAACAAAUUCUAUUAUCAUUACGGUUUAAUUGAUAGUAUUCUUAAGCAGGCUGAAAAAUUUAGGAUUUAAGCACAUCAGUUCAUCAACAACAUGAAUUCUAUUAUCAUUGCAGUUUAAUUGAUAGAAUAGUUAAGCAGACUGAGAAAUUUAGGAUUUAAAAUAUCAUGUAUAUAUAUAUAUAUAUAUAAAUUAAUUUUGUCUAUUAGAAAUAUCAUGUUCAAAACCUACCAGUUCUGGUGUAUUCUAUGCAUGUUUUGUGUCACCCGACCCCACCGGCCACCAGGCAAGUUGAAGCACACUUCCGCCGUCCACGGAAGGGCACAUAGACGUGGAUGUGAACCACCGGCUGCAGGUCGCCCGACAUAUGACCACCGGCUUCAUCGCCUGCAUCUCCAUCCUUCCGUCCUUCCAACUCGAUGUCGUUUCGUCACUCCCUGCGCAAUUGGAUUGAUGAACACCUGUGCCACCUGGUGGACUUCCGUGCACAGGAAGAACAGUGGUCAUCGGUUUGCCAUGACCAAGUCAACAAAGCUCCUCAGCUGUUGCCUUUGAAGAUUCAAAGGUUGACACCAAAAGCUGGACUUACGUAUAUUGGAUCACAUUCCUAUAGUAUUAAUUGAUAUACUUGCCGGAAAAUUACCGGUCUGACUCCGCCAUUUCCUUGCUGACCAACAAACCGCGUGUUCAUCGUAUUAUAUUUCUGUUCAAAGUUCACAGCUUCUUCUUAUUCUCAGUCGUAGACGGGAGAGGAAAGCAUCACGUACUACUCUUCCUCUUCUUCUUCUUCUUCUUCUUCUUCGUUCCUUUGUCUCAACAUCCUACUGUUGCAAAGAUCCAAAAGCAGUUAAUAGAUCUCUCCUCCUCCUCUUCUUCUUUCUAUCCCUUGCUUGCUCUCUGGAAAUGGCCUCCUGCAAAGCAUGGCAUCUCUUCCUAUUCUGCUGUCUUCUCCAACCGUUUCGAUCUUCAGCUUCUCUCUACAACUGGAGUUCUUCGGCGACGCACGGAUCUCCGCUCCCCGGGAUCGAAUUGCCUACCCACUUGAGCUUCAACGCCGUCACCUCCGCCGGGGAGUCCGGCUGUGACGACCACCUUGACGCGGCCGGCGGAUCGCCCAACAAAGAUGAGCAAGGAUUAUUGUACGAUAACAUGGAUCAGGGAGGGGUGGAAGACAACGCAAGCGCCAAGGAUGGGGCGGCGCCGGCCUUGAGGCUCCACCUCAAGCACCGGUCUACAAGGGAUGGGGCGGCGCCGAACAGGACCAAGAAGGAAUCCUUGGAGCACUCCGCCAAUAAAGACGCCCUUAGAAUCGGGACCCUCUUCCGGCGGAUCACCGAACGGAAGAACCAAAACGCCAUCUCCCGCCUCGCCGCCGAUGCUGAUCACCGCGCGGUCGUCGCCGAGAUGGGACGAAAGACGGCAAUCGCGACGCACCCGAAACAGGGCGGGCAGCUGAUGGCCAUGGUCGAGUCCGGAGUCACCCUGGGAUCCGGCGAGUACUUCAUCGACGUCUUCGUCGGUACGCCGCCGCGCCACUUUCCCCUCAUCCUCGACACCGGAAGCGACUUGAAUUGGAUCCAGUGCCUCCCCUGCCACGACUGCUUCGAGCAGCACGGCCCGGUCUACGACCCCGCCGCCUCCUCUUCCUACCGCAACGUCAGCUGCGCCGACCCCCGCUGCGGCCUCGUCUCGUCGCCCAACCCGCCCCAGCCCUGUCGCUCCGCCGCCGCUAAUGGCGGCCGCGACCAACCCUGCCCCUACUUCUACUGGUACGGCGACAGCUCCAACACCACCGGAGACCUCGCGCUCGAGACCUUCACCAUGAACCUCACGGCCCCGGACGGCGCCGGCGCCGAGUUCCGCCGCGUGGACGACGUCAUCUUCGGGUGCGGCCACUGGAACCGCGGGCUCUUCCACGGAGCCGCCGGGCUCCUGGGCCUCGGCCGGGGGCCGCUCUCCUUCUCCUCCCAACUCCGCUCGCUCUACGGCCACACCUUCUCCUACUGCCUCGUCGACCGCAACAGCGACCUCAGCGUCAGCAGCAAGCUCAUCUUCGGCGAGGACCCGAGCUUGCUCGGCCGCCCGGGCUUGAACUACACCUCCUUCGUCACCGGGAAGGAGAACCUCGUUGACACCUUCUACUACGUCCAGAUUAAAGCAAUCCUCGUCGGCGGCGAGGCACUGCAGAUACCACCGGCGACAUGGGAGCUGGCGAAGGACGGCAGCGGCGGGACCAUCAUCGAUUCCGGCACCAUACUGAGCUACGUCGCCGACCCGGCGUAUCAGAAGAUUAGAGAAGCCAUCGUCAAGAGGGUAAAGUACCCGAUGGUGGCAGACUUCCCGGUGCUGAAUCCUUGCUACAAUGUAUCCGGAGUACCCAAGGUGGAGCUGCCGGAAUUCGCGAUCUUGUUCGGAGACGGCGCGAUGUGGAACUUCCCGAAGGAGAACUACUUCAUCCGGCUGGAUCCGGAGGACAUCAUGUGCCUCGCCAUCCUGCCGACGCCGCAGCGGGGGAUCUCCAUCCUGGGCAAUAACCAGCAGCAGAACUUCCACAUCACGUACGACUUGAAGAAUUCCCGGCUGGGAUUCGCGCCGGCGAGGUGCGCCGAGUUGUAGAGAGAGAACUCAGAUCACAUAGUCUUGGAGUAGACAUUUUGUCGGAAGGUAGACACGAAAGUGUUGGCUCCAAGAAGAGCUGAAGAGCUCAAUAGACCAACAACCGAUUCAUUUCUUCUUUCCUAUUCCCAUCUUCUUUUUCUUCUUCUUACAUACACACAUACAUACUUUUGGUCUGUAAGAAUAAGUCUGCAAUUAGCUCGCCAUAAAGUUAAGAAAGGAAAUCCAAAGCUCUGUUGUUCUUUUGCUUUGUCGAGUAGAUAUUUCCUCAAACUGCUUGUCCUGGAUUCGUCCUUCCAUUCCUUCUCGUAGGAACAGAGAGAAGGAAGAAUGAUCGGGUAAGCGAGCAGGGAAGAGAACACAGCAGCAAUCACAGUGAACCAUCACAAGAAGAAGUGACUUCAUUUGUACGAGUAUCGCAAUUCCAUGCCUUUGAUCAUCCCAUAGCUGAUUUUUUGAUGCGUGUAUCACAUGUGACAGUCAACAUCCUGCGGCUAUUCCUCGUUCCUGUGUUUGACCAUCGAUUGCUGUACCUGUUGAUCUUUCCUUUCCUCGCUCGCCGAUACACCGAGCACGAGAGAUGCGAAUUGUCGUCCUCAUCUGUUGCACAUGUUAGGCAACGCGAGCAUUAAUUUCCACCAUCGACGACACUGCGCGUCUCCCCUUUUCCUCCGACUACUUGAUGUUGCAACCAUCACCGCUUACUCCACCAUGUACAUUAUAGUACACAUUAACUUUGCUCUCUGUUUUGGAGCAGCAGCACAUAUCGACUCCAUGAGGUGUUCGAGCAGAUUAGGUCGAGUGACAUAAUUCGGAGCACCUAUUUCGUAAACAUGUACACUUUAUCGUGCAUGCUGCUCCUGCAGGCAAUCUCGUGAAGGGAUGACUGACUUGAAUGCUUCAGUUCGUAGCUCAAGAUUAGAUCUUUUUUUGGCUGCACGCCUACCAAAUGACUCGAAGAAGAUAAUGUUUAGAUUUGCAAAGUGCCCACCGGUGAGACUUUUGCUCAAACACUUAUCCGAUUCCUGUUGUAGUCAACUGCAGUGAGCAGCGGACAGGAGUGGAGCUGAUCUGUGAGCCAUGACGGCAUUAAAUAGACAUACAUCCGUCACUACCAGAAGAGAUUCCAAAAGGCAGACAACAGUCUUUGGUUUGGUAUGGUAAUGGAUCAGUUCAUCGAAAAAGGAAGAGAAGAGGAGAGGUGGAGUACAAAAGCAAACCAUGCACGAUUUCAGUAGAUUGGGCAUUGGUUUGCCCCACAUCACAGCAAUUCGUAAGGAGCAAAUAAGCAUCCAACAAGCACCGCUCGCCAUGCUCAGAAAGAUCGAGCAAAGCAUGGCUUUGCUGUGCCAUUGCCAAUCAUAGAAACAUAAACUGGAACUCGAUCGUCUUCUCCGUCGCCUCAAGAAUGGGAGGGAUCGCGUUCAGUUGUCGAGGUGCUUCAUCCCCAGCUUCUUGACUUCCACUUUGAGAGAUUUCAGGUACUUGACGGCCUCGUCGAGGACGGCAGGAGUGUCCAUGCGAUCGCCACCGGGGAUGAUGCCCUUGAGUGUCUUCACCAUCUUCUUCAUCUUCUCCCUUUUGCCGCUGCUACUGCCGGCGGUCCCGGAGACUUGCUUCCUGGAAGAAGCGGACUUCGAGUGCGAGGAGCAGGCGGUGUCCGGGGAAUGGCCUGCCCAGCUGCCGGGCGUCCUCCCCGUGCUCACCACGUCGUCGUCUUCGCCUUCUUCCGAACUCAGCAACGCGUCGAUGUCCUCCGUCUCUUCGUCGUGAUCCCUGUGCGCACUUUGGCCGGCGUCGUGAGCGUGAGUUCCGUAGGCGUCGAAGCCGGGAGAGCCGAACUUGUGCGCCAGCGAAGGGUGGAACAUGACCCGGCUCCUGUGACGUGUCUGGUCAAAGAUGACAAAGUUUUUGGGGCAUGUCUCCGACGGCUGGAACUCGAUAUUGUUGAGCGGGGCAGGGAAAUCACGGUGCUCGUGCCCUGCAACAGGGGCGCCGCCGUAAGGGUAGUAAGCGCCUGCGCCGGAGUCGAAGCCGUAGCCGUCCUCAAGUGGAGCUUUUCCGGCUAAGUAUCUCGGGUUCCUCUGCAUGGUGCUGUCGCUUGUGGGAGAAAUCUGGUGAAAGUGAGCAGAGGAUGGCGAGAGCAAGCAACACGAUCUCCCGAGCAGAGUUUCCUGUUCGAUGCCAACUUCGAGGAAGGAAAGACAGCUUAGCUAUGGAGUGUCUCUUCUAUUGAAUAGCUCUUCUUCUGUGACAGAGGAAGAAGGAAGAGAACAGAUCGACUUGCUCUCAACCUACGUGACAGGCUUGAGCAACUGGCGGAAGUACUCAGCCUGCAACCAGAGGACAACCAGUAAGAGUAAUUCAAACACAGAGAAGAGAAUCAAACAUGUUCUUCAAGUAUUUUUUGACACAGUAACUAUGGAAUUACCUGACAAACCUGCAACAAUUGAGAAUAAGCAAUGAUCCUGACACUCAUUAUGAUCUCUCCAGCCUUCUCCAAUGUUCGGUAUCUCUUCAGAUUUGCCUCAAUGUGCAUUCUCAAUUUCUUCACACAGGUUGCGACCAAACCACCCGACAGCUAACAAAGAUUCCAACUCACCUGCCAUUAAUUCACCGAAUAAACACGAAAUCGAACGCACUUCAAGAGAGAGUUGCGGUGGAAAACAGAGAGGGCGAUUUACACUAUGACACGAAAGAAGACGACCAAGCGAACGCGCUUCAGGUAGAAGUCAGCAGCCAUCGACGCCCACGGCAUGCUUACCGGUCUGAUCUCGGUUCCCGCAGUCCUGCAAACGAAGGAUUCAAAGCUGAAACGAUCGAAUUCAACAGCCGUCGACCCGCGAAGCAGAAGAUAAAGCAGAGGGAGCAGAAACAAACGAAGUCGUGCACCAAAGCUCAAACGAUAAACACAUGGCUGCUGGUGCAAGAGAGAAGAUAUAGAGGGGACCUACGGAGGUGGUGGCUCCUGCACGGGCUGAUGCAACGCGAGAGGAGUCAGCUGAGAUUUCAAGUACAAGAAGCUGGAGCAGCGACAGGGGAGGGAGUUGGACGGCCUACGAGGCCUAUGGGAUACGGUGGGAGGCUGAGACUGUGAAGCCACCUUGCCCCUCCCUCCCUCGCCUCCUAUAUAUCUACGUCUUCCGGUGUCUCUUUCCUCCGAGGUAGGUAAUGAUGGGAGCUUCCAAAGCGGAGAUCUCUUUCCUGCGCUUUCAUUAAAAUUGAGGCAGAGCAAUUAAUGUGGCGUGGAGGCAGGCAAACGGGGGUGGAUGUGCGUCUGUGCGCGCGAACGCGCGCGAGCUUCGACUUGAUUGCGCGUGACGCUCCUCCAUCCAACACGACAGCCUGCCUCCCUGCCCCAACCAUUUAAAGUCGACACCUUUUUGCCCCCACCCUUGGGUCUCGCUGCUGCUCCUUCCACGCCUGUCGUCGGAUCAUCGGAGACGGAACAGGCAGCCGUCGGAUGGCGGGCGUCGCCCCCGGGGGCCCGCUCGGGGACUCCGGAGGGGACACAGGGAGAGGGAGAUAGAUGGUGGCGAUCACUAUUUGUUACCACGGUGUUCGGGUUCAUGUGCUGGUGUCGGGGGCAGUGGAGGGGGGAAGGUCAUCAUCAUUUGGGUGCGGUGUUGUCAUCAUAAUGUCUGCAGUGGAUGGAGAGAGAGACUGUGUGUGUGUGUGUGUGGUGGGGNNNNNNNNNNNNNNNNNNNNAGGUGGACGAGGAGGAGACCGGGGGAAGGGGGGGACAGCGAGGCCUACGGAGCACGCGUGGGCAGUCGCACCUGCGGUGAACCACCGAGCUCGAGGCCUACGAGAUGGGCUUCUGCCGCUGUCGUCGCUGGCCGUAAUCGAUGUCGCGGUUCCCCAGCAUGAUCUCCUCGCCUCGCCUCUUAUGAUGACAGGUGCUCCAUUGCUUAUGCUCUUCGGAGAUCGUAUUGCCCGACCACCAAAACGAACCCCCGCCAAUUUACCACCCUGCUGUGCGACUCUCUCUCUCUCUCGCGGGCAUGACUGUGUGGUGGGGGCCGACAGGUGCAGGAGUCAGCGUGACCUCAGCUAAGGGCCCCGCAGGUGUAAGCGGCGCGUACGAUUAGGGGGUCCCUGGAACGGAUAUGUGACACGCCCACUCAGAUUCCUUGCUCAUACUUGCUGGAUUGCAAAAUGGGCUGUAAUGGGCCUCUGGAAGCCCGGCCCAAAAUAGAGGGCUACUUGCUUGAAUUGUGCAUGAAAUUACGAUCGACUUGUCUCAUAUAAGACAUAAAUCAACCUCAGGAAAUAAACCAUAUCCAUGUCACGAAGGUCACAAUAAGUUAAACAGAAAAAGGACACUUCAUGUCCCAACCAAAGCUCAAAGUAGAACACUGUCUCAUUAGGGGGGGGCUUUCUGUCGGUGAACACCGAGAGAUGACGAAACGUCAAAUCGUACUUAGCCGACCAUGGUGCUGUCGUACAAAAAUAGUUGCCAUUAGCAACCUACUCAAGCCUUUCUGCAGCAGAACGCCUCAUACCAUCUAAACGGCAGCAGCAGGGCAACGAGACGACAUUCUGUAUCAGUGUCUGCUAAAAGAUCUGCAACACUUUUUGUGAUGGCAUUCAAUAUGGAGGAGUGGAUUCAGGUGAACGCGGAAUGCACUUGUUGUGGGCGUGCAUUGUAUCAUGUGCCGCCGGGGAGAAGCGAAGACAUAUAUAUGGCAUGUAAUUAUAUAUAACUCUUUUCCUACAUUCCAAAUAAUUUUCUACAAAACACACAUUAAUUUGCUUUAAAUUUGGAGAUGCGGGGAAUCGAACCCCGUGCCUCUCGCAUGCAAAGCGAGCGCUCUACCAUAUGAGCUACAUCUCCAAUGACACUUUCUUGAGAUACAAAUUAAUCUGAAGGUGGGAUCGACUCGGAUGCGGAUGCGUAUUCCGUGUGGUCUUAUUUGGCUAGCCGACGACCCGUUAAGCGGAGGUUGCGUGGCAGGAAUUGGCGGCUCCGAGUGGAUACUUAUCCGGAUAAACUUAAAAUUAAAUUAGAGACAAACCCGAUGGGCCCCACAGCGCCUCUGAGACAAAAACGCAUCCCAAACUGUUUCAGAAGCUGUACGAUGAUGUGUUGGUUCCACAGCGACUCUCUUCAGUGCUCAUUUUUCGUGGUUGACCCUCUCAUGUACAGAUCUCGUCAUUUUUACUUCCACGUGAGCGCCAGGUUGGAUCGUCGCCAUUCGAAUCCAUCAAUUAUUGACACCGUGGUUGACUUGAUCACACACACACGACAAUGCCGUAUAGGGAACGGCGAUCCGAACCAACACGCAAGCGGAUCAGGACCAUCCGAAAGCCGACACGCGUCCCUUACGCCCUCUCCCAUACGGGCCAUGGUUCGGCCCAUUCGAACCUCGUGCGCCCCAGCCACCUUGCUAACCAUAAAAUAAUCCCAUACGGUGUUUGCGCGUCACACUGUUCCCAACCACCUCAGCCUUAUUAAUUGAGAGGAUUACACUAAUCAACUCUACCGUCAACAACCAAUAGCUAUUAUUAUUAUUAUUAUUAUUAUUAUUAUUAUCAUUAGAAUUAGAUUCCUGUCGUACUGCAUCAGCUACAGGUCAUGUGUUAUAUCGAAGGGAAACGACCACCCAACUCAUCGAUCCUAUGCAUGUAGUAUUAUCGUGAUGUAAGGUGAAAUGGCAGUAUGAGAGAGAGACGAGGAACGAGAAGGGACAAGCUAAGUAACAGGUUUGGUGGGGGGAGGGGAGAGGGGUGCGUGUCAACGGACGCCAAGUCCAUUAAAAUACGGUUGAAUCACGGCGCACAAACCCAAUAAGACUCUCUCUCUCUCUCGCUCUCUCCAUCAUUUGCUCCUGCGAUCAUCGCUUUCGCUUUCUGGUUUCCUUGUGCGGAAGGGAGGGAGAGGAGACGCACCUCGGCCGCAAUAAUAGAGGCAGCGGAGCUGGGUCGUGGAUUUUGUUCUCGAUUUCGGCCGAUUAGGGCGGAUCUUUUUGGGUGCCAUCGCAGUGGUUUUGCUGGGAAUUUGGGUCGGAAUCGGCGGAAGUGCGCUCCAGGCUUUCGUCUACGUGCCGAGGGAAUUUUGGGUGUUACCGAUGCGAAUUCUGAGUUGUUCCGUCGCCUGGUAAGGGGUUCCGCUCUUUCUAUUGGACUAGUUGGACCUUCUGUUGGCUAGGAUGUGAGAGAUAGGUGGAUUUGGGGAUUAUUAGGGUUCUUAUCCUUUGCGAUUUGGAGAAGAUGUGCCGAAAGACAAUAGGAUUCUGUUUUAAUUCGAAUCCCCCUUUCAGCUCUUCUGGAUUCUUAGCUGGAUUCUGCCUAUUUGCUGAUUGAAUAAGAUUGCACUAUCAUUUAUGAGUCGAUGCUUUUGAUAGACUAUUGGUGCACUAGUCUUCCUUGUUGUCAUUUUUUAUUGUCAAUGCUGCUGACGGGGUUUUGGAAUUCAAUUGUGUGGUUCAUGGCUUCACGAAGUUAAAAGAAAUAAUUUCAGCGUGGAUUUAUGAUAUCAAUCAUGGUGUUACACAUGUCAAUUGAUGUUCUGAAGAAUUCUUAUGUUGGAACGAUCUUAUAAACCUUCUAUGAACAAACCAUGAAAUGUCCAUACGUUGAAUUGAAACCAUGAAAUAUCUACAUGGAGUUUGUUUAUCAUGGUCCUCUAAUAGUGCCUUUUUCCCGUCGAGAAAUAUGUAGUAUACAAAGUGUGUAGCAUCUCUCUCUCUCUCUCUCUGCGUGUGUGAAACCUUUGCUUUUGAAUUCUCUCUCUUACCAGCUGUCUUUCUUCAUGGCAAUUGUAGAGAAAUUAUCAAUGGAGCAAACUUCGGAAAAUUCAGCUCGUUUAGGUAAGUAGAAAUGAAAUCAUGCUUUUUCAACAGUAGCAGAACAAAACUGAUCAUACACUUUUGAUCUUUUGCAUAGUUUCCUCAAAUUUUCUAUCAGUGAAGACUCCAACGAAGGCAGAAAAUGCGUGGGACAUUCCAUCUGGAUCCAAUGCGCUCUGUGGAUCAAGUGAUGUUAGCCUUUUCUCAAGCUCAUUACCAGUACUUCGUCAUGAAAAAUGUAUGCUGUUCCUUUUAAUGGUUACUGACUUUCGGCUAUAUCAUUCAAAUCAACUCUAUUAAUGCUAUGUUAUUCAGCGAAUUUUGCAGAUUCACACAUCGGUGCUCAAUGGACUUUUGAUGCAUCUUCCAAACUGGAAAAGGGAAACAAUGACGCCGAGAGUAAGGUUUGUGUGGAUGAUCUGGACCUCCAUGGGACUGGGAUCCUGUUACCUGAUGAUGAAGAAGCCCUUUUGUCUGGCAUAUUGGAUGAUUUCGACCUUAAUGGGUUGCCUAGUCAAGUUGAUGAACUUGAAGACUAUGAUCUUUUUGGCAGUGUUGGGGGCAUGGAAAUGGAUUCUGAUCCUAUAGAAAGCAUUACGGUUGGUAUUGCAAAGGCAAACAUCUCUGAUGGCUUUUUAGGCAAUGGAAUUAGUCAGUAUGGUCUUCCUAAUGGUGUUGGGACUAUUUCCGGGGAACACCCAUAUGGAGAGCAUCCUUCAAGAACUCUAUUUGUGCGUAACAUCAACAGUAAUGUUGAAGACUCUGAAUUGAGGUCGCUCUUUGAGGUAAGUGUUUGUAAUUCUGUUGCAUAACUUUCUGCUUUCAAUCUGCUUCAGCUUAUAUGUAGCUUAAUUUGUAGUUGCAAGUAUUGCUAAUUUUCAUGUAGUGAAUUCUGUGCAAAAACUGUGAAAAUGGUUCCUUCUCCUGGUUUAUGUCUUGUUAAUUUAAGUUCCCAAUUGUUCUAAUGUUACUAAUAUAGAAGCAAUUUUUAGAAAGAUUAGAUUACCUAUUCUCUGUUGUCAUAUGCAAAGCGUUGUAAAAUUUUAGAAUUGGUGUUGAAGGAUUAUCUUUUUCUAUGAGUUAAUAACAAUGUGGAACUACUUUUGUUUGGUAUAUCUUUUAAAGCUAAUAACAAUGUUGAACUACUUGUAUUGGUGUCGGAAGUAUUGCUAACUUAUUUUCGUUAUAUAUUUUGUUAUGUGGAACCACUAAGUUUAUAAAAUAAGUUAUUUUCUUUCUGUUAUGAAAACGUUAUAUAGGAAUGUUGGUUGUUGGUUUUCUCUAUUCAUCUCAUGUUUGUUUAUCAAUAAAAAAAAAUGCUGCAACAUGGUGAAUCCUUUAAAUAUUGUCCCUUGUGGUACUAGUGCAUGCUACAUCUUGGUCUAUUAAGCAAAUAUACCAAGUGCUACUUUCAACAUUUAGUGUGAUGUGGCAUACCUACUGAUAUAAUUUGUUUCCAAAUCAUCAUCUUCAGCAAUACUAUCAUGUUCAAGCUUUUUGUCAUUGCAGCUGGAUUGUUUAAAGAGCACAACUUGGGAGAUCAAUAAAGCCCUAGAUGACAAAUUUGUGACCUGCUGCUAACCUAAUAUUAACCCUAGAGAGGCAACCUAAUGCACAAGGCUAUCCGGAGCUUGGGCGGGGUUAGUGUACUAUCCCUGCUAGCAAAGAGGCUAUUCUGUGACUGCAAUCCUAGUCACCCAGGAUGCAGAGUAACUUUAUUAUGACAUGAAAUCUUGCUAUCAACCUAAAUGUAAAAGUCAAGUUCAUAGCCAUGGCAAAUAAAGACAGAGAUGACUUGUCAUACAAUGUAGGUAGGAGGAGUGAUAUAAAAUAGCCUUUCGAGAAAACCAGUUAAACUGAUGUGCGAGUUUUUUUAAUUAUUGAUCUGAAAUAACUUCUUAUAGAAACCCCUUUUUCAUUUAGCGAUUGAUAUGCUGCAAUGGUUAGACUAUUAUGUGCUAGCUUUUUACUGUUUAGCUGAAGAUUACAUAGAACGUGCUAUCUAUUGUCAAGUUUCAUGCAUAAUGCUAAUAAUUUGUCUGAUUUUGUCAACAUGCUAGUUUAUUGCCUUCUUAUGAAAUCUUCUAAAUUGUAAUUUUCUUAUUGCUCAUUCCUAUUCCAGAACUUUGUUUCUUGACUUUCUCUCUCUUGACAUUUAUUUGUUGCUUCAUGUUUUUAGCAAUUUGGGGACAUCCGAAGUCUUUAUACGGCAUGCAAACACAGGGGAUUUGUGAUGAUAUCUUACUAUGAUAUACGAUCUGCUCGAUCUGCCAUGCGUGCAUUACAGAACAAGCCCUUAAGACGGAGAAAGCUUGACAUACAUUUUUCAAUUCCAAAGGUCUCAAUAUGGAUUUUUUUCUUUUUUUUUUAUGGAGAAUCUGUAACCUAUUUUACUCUCUAUUACUUGGUCAUUAUCUGUUCUAGUAAUUUUCAGGAUAACCCAACAGACAAAGAUAUGAAUCAAGGAACUCUCGUGAUAUUUAAUUUGGAUCCUUCCGUUUCUAAUGAGGACCUUAGGAAAAUAUUUGGUGCCUAUGGGGAAGUUAAAGAGGUGAGAAGUUUUAUUUAUAUUUGUUAAUCCCAGAGAUCGUUUUUCACAUAAGGUUACCAGUCACCUGAGGCUAAUGCAAAGGUGUCGGUUUUUUACUGUUUGAAGCAGAUAAGAGAGACUCCUCAUAAGCGGCACCACAAAUUUAUUGAGUUUUAUGAUGUCAGAGCAGCAGAAGCUGCCCUGCGGUCAUUGAACAAGAGUGACAUAGCUGGGAAGCGAAUAAAGCUAGAACCAAGCCGCCCUGGUGGAGCUCGCAGGAAGUAUGUACAUUGAUUUUAGUGUUUGCAUAUAUCUCAUUCUUGGAGAGAAGUGCUAUACAAGAUCUGUAGAUUUUUUUUUCCACUCUAAUUUGCACUAUUACAUUAAAUUUGCAUAUAUUUCAUUCUUGGAUGGUUUAUUGUUUUCUUAUUGUCAUGGGUAGCUUUUUCCAUAAACUCUUUUUGGAAUUAUUUAGUACUGAAGUGCUAAAAGCUCAAUCUUUUAAACAGCUUAAUGCAACAAUUGACUCAUGAGCUAGAACACGAUGAGACCAGAGUUUAUCGGCACCACGGGGGAUCACCUAUCGCCAAUUCACCACCAGGUAUACUUGGGUAACACGCACCUAAAUUCAUGUGUAUCUUUGUGUGUAUAUUGUCUUAUACAAGUGUUCAUCUUUGCCUUUUCUUUUCAACUCUUAACACCAUAUUUUACAUUUGCCAUAUUUUGUGAUUUGAACUGGGUGCCUCUCGAAUGGCAGGUCUAUGGGCACAAUUCAGUAGUCCAAAUGACAACAGUCCACUACAAGUUCUUAGCAAGUCCCCUAGUGGGGGAGCAAUGAGCCCCAUUAAAAAUAAUCAUUUGCCUGGACUAGCUUCUGUACUUCCUCCAAUUGUAUCAACUUCCACUAAGAUUGCACCAAUCGGAAAGGACCAAAAUAGGGCCAGCCAUGCUGAUCAGGUAAUUUCUGGUGGGAGUCCGAUACAUGGAAGUGGAUAUCAGCAAUCUCAUUCCUUCCCAGAUCAUGGUCAUGGAUUGGUGACCCCAACUCUAGGAAAUUUAACUUCUUUUGGUCCUUCUACAUCGAAUGCAUCUGGAGUUGGAACUCUAACUGGCCCACAGUUUCUCUGGGGUAGCUCGGCUUCUUACACAGAUAAUAUGCAGUCUUCUGCUUGGCAGUCUAGGGCUACAGGAAAUUCAUUCAUGUCAAAUGGACAAGGGCAAGGGCAAAACUUUCUCUAUUCAGGCCAUCAUGGCUCGUUCACUGGGUCAUCACACAGUCAGCAUCACCAUCCUGUUGGAUCAGCUCCAUCUGUUGUUCCUUUCGAGAGGCAGUAUGGAUAUUUUCCCGAGUCACCAGAGACAUCCUUCAUGAACCAAGUUGCAUUUGGAAAUACUGGGAUUAACCGGAAUGGUGGCAGUUUACUUAUGAACACGACUCCUCAGGCCACUAUGAAUCAAGGCAUAAUGUCAGGAAACAUGCCAGAUAAUAGUUCACCCAAUAUGAGAAUGAUGCCUCCUCAGAGAUUUGGACCUGUGCUCUUUCGCAGUCCUCCUUAUUCUGGCCUAAGUUCCAUCGGCAUUGAUGGUCUAGUUGAUCGGAACCGCAGUCGGCGAGUUGACAACCAUGGUGGUCAAGUAGACAAGAGGCUGUAUCAGCUUGACUUGGACAAAAUAAUUAAGGGGGAAGACACUCGAACAACGAUAAUGAUAAAAAACAUUCCAAAUAAGUAUAUCUUUGGAAAAAUUAUCAAAUAUCAUGAUUCUUUGCCAAUUAUAUGGGAUCAUAAACCUAAUCUGGUUUUUACUUGCUUUCCAGGUACACCUCGAAGAUGCUUUUAGCUGCAAUAGAUGAAACUCACAAAGGCACGUACGACUUUUUGUACUUGCCAAUAGAUUUUAAGGUAAUUUGCUCAAAAUUCAAACAAUGGUGGUUUCAUAAUAGUAUCUUAAGCUAAAUCAAAAUUUGAUUUUAUCUGUGCAGAAUAAAUGCAAUGUGGGUUAUGCAUUUAUAAACGUGGUGUCUCCUGCACACAUAAUAUCCUUUUAUGAGGUUUGGUUUUGUUUUGUUUCCCUACUUGCUGAUUCAGUUCUUGUUAGGUCUACUUUCUGAAAUGUUUAUGAUUGGGAGACAGAAGUUUUGAAGUGUAAACUAGGCCAACCAAAUAACAAAACCAUGUAAACUUGGGAAGCUUUGCUAAACCCCUUUUAUACACUUAACAGGCAUUCCAUGGGAAGAAAUGGGAGAAGUUUAACAGUGAGAAGGUUGCCUCUCUGGCAUAUGCAAGAAUCCAGGGUAGAGCUGCACUUGUUGCCCACUUCCAGAACUCUAGCUUGAUGAAUGAAGAUAAGAGAUGCCGCCCCAUUCUUUUUUAUUCUGAGGGAGCGGAGGCUGGUUAUCAGGUAAAAGAUCAAUAAGUUUCUGGGAAUCUUAUGAAGUAGCUUAGUAUACUGGAUGUAUAUAAGCUGCAUUGAAUUGAUUGAUAAGCAAAUUUGUUAAAGCUACCAGAGAAUGUCCGAUGUCGUUAAUUAAUAAAUUCACAUGUUCAGCUUAUGCGUGUUAGGGUUCACCAGGAUCUAACUAAUGAUUAGAUGUCCUGGACGGUGCAUUGAAUAUGAAGGAGCUUUUUUUUUGUCUUUUUCUGAUAGUCAAUAUUGUGUUGAAUGCUUGAUGUUAGUAUGAUUGAUGUUACUAGACACAUGCUACGGCCAAAAUUUAGUCCUUUGCUUUUGGUCGCAUAUAAGCUGUUUGUGCAAGAGCUGUUGAGGUAUAACUGCAUACAUAUUCAUGCAGGUAGUCAUGCAAAAAAAUUGUUUAACUCGCUUCGGUGACUGUUUUGUGACUUUCUCUAUUGUUUCCUUAUUCCAUAAAAACUCGGUUAGUGGCUGAAAUUACCAAAUAAAUAAAAUAGUAUUCGAUGACUGAAUAUUAUUAAAUCUUUGUUUAUAUCCCUUGAGCCAAGGGUUGAUUUUCUGGUGUCUAUAAAGAAAUGAUUCCUCUUACGGACAUGACUGUUAGUGUUAAUCGUGUUCAUUUGGAUCUAUAUGUUGGUAAAACUUAUUUUUCAUCCUUUUCUGACAUGUGCUUUUGCGGUUUCGUAUGUCAAGUUUUCGCUGUCCUAGAUCAUGACGAAGUCAAAGAUAAAAUGUGGUUACUCCGUUUCUUGCAGAUUUACUAUGUUGAUCAACCUUUAGGAUUUGUUUCCCAUUUAAUGGAUACGAUUGCUAAUAGAUGAGAAGGUUUUGCAGGAACUCUUUUCAUCAAGUCAUGUGGAUGUGCAUCAAGAAGAUAUGACUGAAUCAGUGGGCGACUCACCUGAAGGUCCACGAGGAAGCAGUAAUGGGCUGCCAGAGAACACCAACGUACCUGGAACUAGCUUGGAAGGGUAGCAGUUCCUUACAGCAACCACGUAUUUGUGAAUACUAACUCUCCAUAGGUAUUCUAAGUGUAAAAUACGGUGAGGGGGGGGUGGGUUUGGCAAGGAAACUGCGUGCAAUUGUAUUCAAGGGUGUGUCCACUUUUGCAGCCACGGAUGCACCAAAGCAUCAUCAGUGCCAUUAAUCGAAACAGGGAUAUAAGUCCCUGUUCCUUCUUUUGUACAGAUAGGAAGAUCCUGACGUCAAGAAAUAAAGGUUGAAGUGUAUAGGUUUGAUCACGGUCAGUCUGCUGGUAAGCACAUUGCUAACUGGUGGUGCAUGGUUUCAUCUUUUUCCUUUUAGGCACAUGGUUUUAAUGGAUGUCUUUUGAACUUUGUAUUAUUGUACAUAAUGGGACUUAAUUUAGUGCACUUAAUUUUCAUUACUGUGGCAGUUAAUUUGAGUUUGUUGAAUGUGUUUAGUGCACGUGGACUGUUCAUCUGACCAUUUAGUUUCUUCUUUAUACGUUUUGCAUUCGGACAAUUGCUGUUUAUUUAUAAGUUGGGUGCGUAAUGUUAUCAAUGGCGUGAAGUCCAGAAGUCGCUGAGUUUUAAUUCAGUCUGGCGUCAUGAACAGGCUGAUCAGAUGACUGCACCGGCGUUGCCGAGAAGCUGUUCGACGAAUUGAUCCAACGGAGACAGUCAUGUUAGGUACGACGUCACGUGGUGGUGCUUACUCUGGUUGGACGAUUGGACGCUGUCGGGCCACUCGUCCUCUGACGCCUUGAGCGCCACAUGGUUGGGCAGUAAUUACACUUGGCGUCGCAGCUCUGCAGCCACCAAGCAUUUAUUCUUCUUACGCUUUUCUAUGGCCAUUAGCCAUCCCAUACAACUCGGACAGCCCCAUGGAUAAGGCCCUAUUGACCACUAUAAAGAAAGGUGAGAAAUCACCCGAAAGCGAGUGGUUUAUCUCUUUUAUCUUGGAGUAGCUCGGUUUAGAGUUGAUGGACUGCAGUGUCUUCCUGUUUAUGAUGCGAGGACACACGUUUCCUCUCUCUUUAAUGAUUCGAGCUAAGUUUCAGCCACAGCCCUCUCUCAGUUGUUAUUUGAGCGAAGAGCAGCUCAAUCACAUUCUUCGGUGCUUUCCAUGAUGGAUGAGCCUCUCCUUCCCACCUCCGCCCCCAAAACUGCCCCUCCUGCAACCACGGCCUCCUAUCCCAGCUUCCUCCGGCGUCUCCGCAUCUUCCUUGUCCUCGCCGCCUGCGCCCUGUGGGCAAAUUACGAGGCCUCCAAGGGCUUCGACAUCACCGUCCUCCACGGCGCCUCGCGCAGCCCCGCCGCCCGCCGAUUCGGCCUGCUAUUCGUCUCCAACGGCCGAGCCGCCAGGCUCGUCCUCAGCUCCAGUGAUCUCGUUCAGCGCGUCCUCUACCCGGAUGAUUCGUUCCCUCGGAAGCCAGUGCGCCGGAUAACGCUUUUCUUGGCCGACGAAAACCUCAACGAGACCGUCGUGGUCAGCCACGGCCGCCACCCAGGCGAGUUCGUAGUCCAGAUGAGCCCGGCCGUCAUGAAGGCGACGGACGUGCAGAUGUCGGUGGCUUCCGCGCUGCAACGGGGCGUGGCUCGCGUCUGGCUCUGGGACGGGCGAGGCCAGGCGCCGAGACCGCUUCUUGACGCCAUGGUAGAGUACCUCACCACGCAGAACAACGCCAGUGCUACACUCCGCACCAAUUCCUGCUGCGCGGCGGGGGAGCAGCUGCGCGUAGCGCGCGUGAAUCGAGCCAUGCAGGAGGAGUGGGACGAUCGGAUGCUGGAGGAUGUAUGCGGCUCGCCUUCCGAAAAGGUCUGCUCGGCCUGCCUACCUCUUAUCGACCUCAGUACGUUCGCAAGGAACGUAGAUCCUGAUCAAGAUCCACAGACAUGAGCUUAUGAGUUAGUGUUAGCAGUGACAAUGGCCGAAUAAUUGAGGGGAAGCAGUAGUCAAUGCAUGACGCAGAAGCAAGUGGAGCCGACCGCUGAGCUACGAUCUAUGCAAGAUUAGGACUGCAUCUUGUACUACUUUUCUGUGAUCCUACAAUGGAUUCAGUCAGUACCAUGUCAUGCUUUGAAUCAGCGAAUGCAAGUAAUAGAUUAUGCAAUUAAUAGCCUAAUCAGUGAAUGCUGGAGGAUGCACACUUAGUUUCAUGUGGUUAGCGUCCAUUGCACUGCUCAAAAUGACCCAAUCGUACACAGUAAAACUUGCAUGGUGGAAAAGCUUCAGCUGCUCGAUGAAUGACGAGGACGGUUCUCAUUCUCUUUCAAGCAAACUGCUACUAGAUGUUGUGGCUCAAUGAGCUCCAUUGCCUCGUAGAUAGUUCUUGUGCAUGAGCGACAGGUCUCAUCAAUCAUGUAAUUAACAUGGAUGGGUCCCAAACUUGUCUGGUGUUUUGGGUCUCUUGCUGUUGACCGUAGCGUAGCAACACCAGAUUCCGGCGAGUAGAGCCACACGCAAAAAGCUUUCCCCUUUCUAAUUUGCAUGAGGAAUUCAAUACGUAAUAUCGACAUUACAGGAAUAGAAGACCGAGUUGUACAGGGAAUUCAAUACGAAGAGGACUUUUCCUAAGUACCAAAGGAAGACGAACAAUAGGAAUAGAUAUCAUAAAGGUUAAGCACUGACCGACAACAAGAAACGAGUUCUCCUUUGUAAUCCAUGGUAAUGCCAUUUGGCCAUUUACAUAUUAACCUCACAUCCAAUCUACGUCAAUAAUAAUAAUCAUCAUAGCUUUAUGAUUCCUGUGGGACAAAACUGGUCAGAGCCCAUCGACUAGUGGUCUUCCUCAAAUUGAGAUCAGUCACACACUGUGUUGGAUAUGCACGGAUUUCAUCUCUGAACGACGAAAUAAUUGGAUCUCGAGAUGGGAUUGGUGUUCGUCGUCCGACAGAUGCAGCUUUUCUUAAACACGGAUGCGAUGUCUGUGAUUAGAUGUGAAGUAAUUGGAAGUGUCUGCACUUUGUUCUCUUCUUCAUGUCCAGGAAACGUAAGUGGCCAUCAACCCACCAUGUCUGGUCUCUUUCUCUUUGCUCUCUCUCUCUCUCUCNNNNNNNNNNNNNNNNNNNNNNNNNNNNNNNNNNNNNNNNNNNNNNNNNNNNNNNNNNNNNNNNNNNNNNNNNNNNNNNNNNNNNNNNNNNNNNNNNNNNNNNNNNNNNNNNNNNNNNNNNNNNNNNNNNNNNNNNNNNNNNNNNNNNNNNNNNNNNNNNNNNNNNNNNNNNNNNNNNNNNNNNNNNNNNNNNNNNNNNNNNNNNNNNNNNNNNNNNNNNNNNNNNGUCGUCUUCUUCUUGUCUCUCUCUCUCUCUCUCUCUCCCUCUCUCUCUCUCUCUCUCUCUCCCUCUUAAAUCUCAUGGCAUCAUAAACGGCACACAGAGGCUCCUUACACAAGACAAGAUCUCAUAAAUCAACGGGCCCCACUUCCCUAGACGUAUUGGCCGACGACAGCUCCCAUACUUCAAUACGCUCGUCUCUAAGUACCUCGACUGUACGUAGUCGACAACGCACGUCGAGCCAUUCGCUGGUCAAGCUUUUCGAGGUGAUAAGAUCAUGGCGGUAAAUCUAUAGGACGUGAGAGUGAUUGGUUCAGAUUUUUGUUCCUGUUUCUGUUCUCUUGUUCAUGCAUUCUUACUAAGAUUACUACGGUUGUAGCGAAGCUUAUAUAUGUUGAUGUAACUCAUUAUUUUGCCGCACUCUUACGUCUGCAAUGGAGCAGCCUCUCCUUGCUUCUCCUCCUAACAUCGUCCCCAACUCUCGACCUCCUCCGGCCAAGUCCUCCAACCCUAACAUUCUCGUCGGCCUCACCAUAUUCCUUGUCGUCGCGGCCUUCUCUCUGUUGGCGAACUACGAGGCCGCCAAGGGCUUUCAGAUCGUCGUCGUCAAUGCCGCCUUGCACACCCACGCAGGCCGGCGCUUCGACCUCCUGUUCGUCUCCAACGACCGCGCCACCAGACUCGUCGUCGCCUCCAGCAAUCUUGUGCAGCGCAUCCUUUACCCGGACGAUUCGUUUCCCAGGAAGCCGGUGGACCGCGUGACACUUUACAUGGCCGGCGAAGACCUCGACAGCACGGUUGCAGUCCGCGGAGGACGCAGCGCGGGCGAGUUCGUCGUCCGGAUGAGCCCGGCCGUGAUGGAGGCGGCCGACGUCAAAGCGGCCGUGGCUGAGGCGGUGCAACGGGGCAUGGCGCGGGUCUGGCUAUGGGAUGGGCGAGGCGAGGCCCCGAGAUCGCUUCUUGACGCCAUGGCAGAGUGGGUUGCCAUGUCCUCCGGCAUGGCAUCUCCUUCCAUCAGGCCCCGCAACACCAGCGUAUCACCGUUCAAUGCUUCGUGCUGGGAGGACGACGACCACGUACGCCUGGCGAGCUUCUUGAAUUACUGCGACGCGAAGCACCAUGGAUUUGUAGCGCGCUUGAACAGAGCCAUGCAGGAUGAGUGGACCGAAGACACGUUCAACGUUACAUUGGGCUCAUCAGUUCCACAAAUCUGCUCCGCCUAUCUCUCGGCAGAACAAAUAUCUAGUAAGUAAACCUAAUGCUUCUUCUGAUGUAAGAGCUAAUAAGCUUACUAGUGUGCCACCUUUUACGUAGUAUGUACAUCAUCUCAACGAAUAACGAAGCCAUUCUAUCAACAGAUACACACAUACACAGAAAUGGCUUCCCACAGCACGUACUUUCAAUUUGCAUUAGUAAGUUCACAAUGACUCAGUAAGUUACGAACGCAUCAGCAGUCCUUUCCGAUUGAAUGCCUCACUGAUAGGACGUCCAGUUUUGUGAUAGAAUUCAUUGCUGAAUGAACAAUCGGUGCGUAACUCCGUCAUGUGAUUAUUGUACUGUAUGUGUCAGUAUAGCAUCUUCUCGCGCAGUUAAUGGGUUUUGUUGAGGCGUCGUCGUCGUCUGCCCACAAAGGUUUUGUAUCCAUCUCGUAGGUUGCUCGGGAGCCAUCCAUGGCACAUCAAGAACCAUGGUGGGCCUCGGAGCUUUGGGUGCUUCCAUUUGGAUAUGUGGCAUCUCAGUUGUCUCUCUCGUCCUCGCCGGGGUGAACAUCGAGAAGGCAAGGGUACGAACUGUGUGGUCUGAGCUUGAAAGCUUGAAAGUUUGUGAGCAUAUUUUCCUUGGGAUUCUGAUAGCGAGUUUUCUCACCGGAGAAGAAUGAGUUGUAGAUCUAAUGCGGCCUUCUUGAUUCGAAGUGGGAAAGGGGCAUCUGCAAUUAUCAGCAUCAGACAAAAGCAUUUGGCAUGACUAACUCCAACUUGUCAGUGAUGUUUUUGCUGCCUUCGGUUCUUCCAAACCUUCUAGGAUUUAAUUAUUAAGAGGACAGCGAGGAUUGAGAUAUUUCAGUACUUGGAGCAUAUGAUUUGGGAUCACCAAAGGGCGACGACAGCUACUCAUUAUUGGGGUUGGCGACGAAUACAAAUACUUUUAGCAGUCCAAAGUUUCCAAUAAAUCUUUAUUGCGUACUCUAAAGAAUGAAAGUAAGACAUUUCUCAAAAAAAUGUUAGGGUGGGAGAAAAAAAAUUCAAAUUUUAUGUAAAUUUAUUUUAUAUACUUAUAUAAGGAUAUUUUACCUAAAAACUACCGUCCUAAUUAGUUUUCACCUAAUGUGUUUUUUUUAUUAAUUUAACGAAAAUAUCUCUCUACCUUCCACUCCGACCAUCGUUGUCGUGGCCUCCUCUUUUUCUACUCCUCCUUUUCUUAUAUCAUCCAUCCUUUUAUAUUGUUUUUGUUUAACAUUAUCCAUUUUUACUGCUGUAUCGUAGCAACGACUACACUUUCACGAAUGUAUAAAAGGUAAUGUCUAUUCUUUAUCACAGUAUUUCAUUCAUCAUUAUUAGCAUUCUCUUUGUUCACCUAUGCUUAGCUCGCAUUACAUAAACGAUCGAAGGAGGGGGGAGAGUAUUGUUGCUCAUCGAUGACAUUAUAUAAAGAUUGACAUGGAAGGACGAACAAUGUUUACCACUUACACGAUCAAAGAUUUCUAACAAAGAAAAAAGAUAUAUUUUUAUUAAAAUAAAUUAAAAAAAUCAUAAUUAGGAGGCAUCAUAUGAUGAAAGUUCAGUCUCUCUCUCUCUCUCUCUCUCUCUCUCUCUCUAUAUAUAUAUAUAUAUAUAUAUAUAUAUAUUUGUGUAAAAUGCCGUAAAGAAAAGAAAGACCAUGUGGUUCGCACGGACGUACAUAAGUCACCUGGGUAUGCCUUUUUGGGCAGGUAUCAGGUAUCAUAUUGCGCCCAACCCUAGAAAUCGGAGGCGGAGGAAUCGAGCCGAUCUGUUAAUUCGCACCCCGGAAAUCCACAUGAACCCACAAAAUUAACCCCCCAAGCCCAAACCCUAAUCCGCCCCCUGCUGCUUCGUCCUCCUCGCACAGCAGAUUCAGAUUUGGGUUGGGUUAGGAUCUAUUGAUUGGGUUGUAAAUGACCUCCGCGCCCCAACAGUUGGAGGCCUCUGCCUCUCGGUCUCCUCGGCCACAACAGCAACAGCAAGCACGACCGCCACCGAGCGGCACGCUGACCUUCGACGAGAUCUCCAAGCUCUUCUCGCUUCCCAUCGCCGAGGCCGCCCCCGUCCUCGGUAACCACACCCGAACCCUCCUGAAGAUCCCCCGAUUCCCGCUUCUUAUUGUGAUUUGUUGUCUAUUUAUUGCUCUUGGCGGUUGGAUUUGGGAUCUGGCGGGUGGCUUUGUUUGUUUGGAUUUCUGUGUGUGCUCUUGAGGAACUCGGUUGUGGUGCACUUUACCCUUCAUUAGAAUGCAUGGAUUUGGGCUUUGGUUUUUCCUCUUCGAUCUUCUCAUCCCUGGACUUCAUUAGAGUGAGGGUGGUUCUCAUUCUCUUUCAAGCAUACUGUUACUAUUGUGGCUCAACAUAGAACUAUGAAAUUAGCACAAAGAAAAAUUAAAUUUCACCUUGGGAACACUAAUGGAAACCAGAAAGCGCAAAAUGUACAACUUGCAGUAGACAAGGCUUUGGCAGAUUUGUUGUUCAAGCUUGGGCUGAUACUGAUACCUGAAGUCUGGAGAUAAGAAUUCGAUAACUUGCUACUGACUUGUUGUUCCAAAUGGUAUAGAGGCCACUUGUCGUUCGUUAGAUUUUUCUCUUGGUUGAAUAAAAUUGUGUUUACAUGUCAUGGCUGAGCAUUUAUUUUGGUCGGUUACUGCAUUCCAUUUAUCUGCAGUUACGUAUGUGAUUAAGCAUCAGGUUUAAUUUAAUAAAUAUGAAAAGCUUGAAUAUAGAAGUUAAAAGGAAUCAUAUGGAUUGGACAACAUAGAGUGAUAGAGAUUGCGUAGGCAUGGAAUUACGAAUCAGGAGUGUAUAUUUUCACGAGGAUUGAACAUUUACCAUAUUCUACAAUUUCUAGAAUUCAGUGUACUAUUUGAUGGGGAAAAGCUGUGUAGCAUGAAAGCGGCAAGAUGGUAUGAUGAAGGAACAUCAUUCAGGACUUGAUUAAUCAGUUCUGAUAUUUAUGUGAAGGAUAGAAAGCUUAUUAGCAAGCAGCUUGCUGUUUCCUUAUAAUUUAAACUGGGAAGCAAGAAAUCGGAUGUAGCAACAUUCAUUUAGGCAAGCAGUUGUGAUGUACAUUACAGAUCAAUCUUUGACAAUAAUAGCAAAGUUGCAAUCACUAAACUGGAAGAAAUUAGAUGAAGGAAAUCUACUGCAGGGUAGGUAGGACUAUAAACACAUCAAUAACAGAAAUAUUAAACAAUAAAAGCAGCAGCAGCAGCAGCGAUGAAGAAUAUACAAAGAAAUAAGAUAAUUCAUGGAGUGACAAGAGAGAAAUUGGAUCACCACUUUUCUUAAAAGAUAAGUCACAUACAUAGAGCCAUGGUCCACUCCAUUAUUUUGGGAAUUAAUAGCUAUAGCCUAAUACAUAGAGUCAUUAACUACUCCAUCCAAAAGUAUGUCACAUAGAGCCAUCAGCUACUUCAUUCUUUAGAUCUCAUAACUGGUCCAAUAUAAAUCCUUCUAAGUUCAACAUUUUAAGGCUUUCUAUUUUACUUUCUGUUACAUUUUUUAUAUUUAAAAUCAGGCUUCAAAUGUAAUUAUACAAUUUCCAUCUGACAGUUGCGAAUGCUGCUUUAUAGGAGUCUGUACAAGUGUCUUGAAGAAGAUAUGUCGCGACUAUGGCAUUGUAAGGUGGCCAUAUCGAAAGGUAGGUUGCUGAUUUAAGUUUUCUCAUUAGUUUCGUGGUGGUUAUCUCAAGAAAUGUUUCAUUAUCAAUGGAAUACAUAAACUCUUCUCAUCCAUCUUUUUGGCAUAUACAGAAACUGAUCAAUGAAAAAAAAAAGUUGAUUUUGAAAUUGUGUAAUAGCAAUGUAACUGUUGCAUAUAAAGCUUUCUAAAAACACAAAAUUUUUUUUCUUAAGUUCAUUUCGUGAGAUGUUCUUUAUUUGUUCCAUCCAGUUGAACGUAACCUUUUAGAGAUUUAUAAUCUUUUAGUAGCAGUUUGGUGUCUGUUAUAAUUUUCAUAGAGUUCAAUGGCAAAUAUGGUCAUAAGCCUUUCUUUUCUUUUCCAUUUAUUUCCCUCUACAUCUUUCUUUCUUUUUCUCCUUGACCUCUAUAUCCGCUAAGACUAUCCAUGUUCUGCGGUGACUGUGCUUUCUUUUUUUCCCUUUUCUGCAGUAGAUGAAGAUUUUCUGUUAGAUUGUUGAAUUAAAGAGCCUUGCACAAUUUCUCAGAUGUUCAUUCCAAACAAAGUUGUUAUAUUUUGCAAUGGUUUUUACAAUUUUAUUACAAUGAGCUGGAAUGAUGCAUGCCAAUUUUAUUACAUGACUUUAUAUCAUGUAGAAAAAUCACAUUACAAAAUCUAAAAUUCUUUCAUGUCCUUCAGAUGUUACAUUCUCUUUAAUUCACAACAGAUAAGUGCUCGAUCCAUCUCCAGUUACAAUGGAAAUGAUGGUUGCUUUUUAUCAACUUAUCUAGUCAAACUGACAGUACCUAUGUGAUUGUAUUGUUUUGGAAACUGUUCCACCUUGCGUUUUACAUUUUAACAUCUGUGCUGAAUGAUCUUUUGCUAACAUAAUUAUCUAUCAUUUUGGUUAUCAUAUUUGGUAUUUAUUUAUAAAGCAUUCUAGAAGAAAUAAUUAGGAAUUUGGUCUUGUUUUUAGCAACUUUGUUGUGUUGUUCUGUUCUUCGUAGAAAUGUAUCUUCAAUUGUGAAAAUUAAAAUGGUCAUGUUGUUUUAGUAUCUUGCUGGGAAGACUGUAGAAGAUAUUAGAAGAGAUAUUGCUAAGGAGAGAAGUAAGGAGCUAGCUGAUUUAUCGAAGACUAACCAAAAGAAUGAUGUGUCCAAUGUGAUGUCAUCGCCAGUUGGUUCCUUAUCAGCUUUGUGAGUAUACUUACUUUUCUUGUUCAGUGAAAAGUAUAAUGCAUCUCCAUCCAUAUCUUUGUCUUCUAAUUUAUCAUGCUUUAUUAGGUAUGGCUUUUUUUUAGUGUAAACUUCAUCAAAUAUUAUCUUAAACACAAUCUUGUCCAUGUAAAUGUCUUGCCAUGAGUAUUUAUUUCAACUUCACAGGCAGUUGUUCUGCAGGAUUCUUACUCGAUGCAUGCUUAGGAAGGCAUGAGUUCUCAACUAAUCUGCAGCUAGUAUUUGCUACUUGAUAGAAUUACUUGGAGAAAACAUUUAACCCGUGUGUAUGAAUGUUAUGCUUGUAGGCUAUUCUUCAAAUUGUUGCAAAAAAUGUGCCCUCUUGGAUGAGUUUGCAAGGAAAAUAUGCCAAAUGAUCAUCCUAUAACUAUGUGAACAGUUUUAUCCAUUUUGACUUCGGGGUGAUAGUGAAUCAAGUCUUUAUAAAAAUGCUAAUCGCCAAAUUGAUAGGACAAAGUUUUGGCUCUGUUAUUGUGACUCACCUAUUGCUGGAACUUAUCUUAUUUUAUCAAUAAUCACAUUUCUCGUCUAAUGAUCUUAUUUUGUCAAUUUUAGUCUUAGCAGUUUUAAGUUAUCGCAAGGAGCACGUAGGACAUUUGACUGGUUAAAAUUAAAAUUGAUGCCAUCUCUUUCAUUAUAUUGCUUAUUGCAUGGCCUGAACUUUAUAUGAAACUCUUGUGACCAAGUUUCUGCUAAUUAUUGUCUCUAGAUGCAUUGAGGAAACCGAUUGACCUCUGAUCCUUACAAACAAAUAUGGCAAUUUUGUCUUCAGUUAAUAAUCAUGGAAGUAUUUACUAGCAACUACAGAAAAAAAUAAUGUCAUCUUGUAUCUUUGUAGAUUACAAUGUUUACUACUUGGGGUGUUUGGAGUGCCUAUUUAGAUUUUCCAUGCCUUUAAUGUUUGCUAUUUAUUUAGCUUGUAUCUAGUUAGAAAUGUUUGUAUGCAAUAGGAUGUGGCCUUAAUUUUUCAUGCCCUUAAUUUUUUUUUUUUUUUUUUUUUCCGUACGAGUAUCAUCAAAACCUAACUAAAUUGUAACCAGUAACCUGCAACACUAGCUUUAGCGUAUAACACCCAGGUCAUGGUUUUCAGGUCACCAUGACUAAUUAGAAAAUCAUAUUUUAGUAUGUGCAUAAGGAAUUUUGUUAUAAAUACAGUACUUAUUCCUUGCGGAAUGAUACAGAAAUAAUGUGAAUCAUCCUAUUCUGUGAAAAGAGGGGCUCGAUGACCUAAGCUGAACUGCUUUGAUGUAGAGAAUUAUUACUGGAAGAAGAAUAUUCUUUUUCUAUUAUUUUUUGAACUGAAUAGAUCUAUCUUUCUGCAAUAGGAUAUAACUCUCAAUUUUCUUGUCUUUUAUUUGUUCUUUUUUUUUUUUUGUAAACAGAUAUUUCUGCUGCUAUUCUAGAUGCACCACGAUUUGAUGAUCACUAAUGAAACUUGAAUUCAUAUACAAGAUAAUGUUUGUUGGGUUGAACAUGUCUCAUGUUUUUGCAAUAUUGGAGGCAUUAUGAAGCAUGAAUUCAUAUACUAAGAUAAUAUUUCUAGAGUCGAACAUGUCUCAUGCUUUUGCCAUAUUUGGAGGCGGCAUGUUGGAGGUACACACAACUUGGCGAGGAGCCCCUACUUGUGCUCCAGACCUUAAAAAACCAAGAAUGUCAGCUAUAUUUCAAUAAAAAAGUGAACCAACGUUAUUUCUAGAGGGAUUUCUGAGGUCUGAAAAGCACGCAGAGAAGGCAAACAUAUUAACACAUCAGCUUUCUCCUAUAUGGAAAAUUUGUUGAAUCUGUGUUCAUCAUUAACUUAUAUUAAUGACACUACAAGAAGCAGAAAAAUUAGCCGUCAUCUGUGCAGUUCAAACAUGGUCUUCUUUAGUUAUUUGAUAGAUAAUUUGCACUUUAUUUGUGAAUACAUACGUCAGUGGUUUGUCGAUGCUGGACGUCAUAGUGUAGGUUCUUAUGCAAGUAACAAUUUAAUUCUUUGCUUGCUCCUAUAAGCCUUGCCUAAUGCAAUUUUUUUGAAUUUUGAAACAGAACACCGAACCCUGCUCAAGAAUCUUCCAAAAUGCAGAGAGUUUCCAUGCCAGGGCAUGUUUCGCAACUGCAAGGAAGUAGGUUUACUCAAAACGGAUGGCCAAAUGUGCUCCAUCAAAACCAAUCAAAAAACAUCCCUACGUUCAUGGACGAUUUCAAAUAUGGUUUUCCAGAAAAUGGUCUAUCGUCAACUUCAUUCAAAUGGUGGGGAAUCAGCAGGCUAGAAGAAACCGAAAGGACCGUGCCAGGAGAAGGAGAAACUACGACCGAGAAGGAUGACAAUCAAGAGGUACAGGACUCAUCAAAUGAAGGCGAAGAACCUGAUUCUGGUGCAGAGGACAAUGUUAUCGUAACCAAGCCAUCUGCUUUGCUGUGCUCUCUGAGAAGAAAAUCUGUUGAAUAUGGGCGCGAGUCACUCAAGAGAGGGAUUUCGGUUGCCGGAAUACCCAACAAACUCACGAAGAGGCAGAAGCUAACAUUAUCCCAAGUAUUUGGGUCAUCUUUACCAGAGGAAUGGAAGGAAAACUUCUCGUGAUCCUUCUUCACUGAGUAAUUUAAUUUCCAUGACCAAAUGACAGGAGUCUGUUCUCGACUAGGCAUCGGAAAGACGAUACUUUAUUAUCAAACUCGAUCGUUUUCUAAUCCUAACUGCAGUUUCCUUGUCACAACCUCGAGUGUUUUUUGCCUGUCAUCUUCUUGUACAUCCUAGUUUGUCUUCCUUCUUGGUGAGAAGGUUAUCGCUUCAUCUAUCUUCAGCUUCAUGGAAUGGCAAUGAGAAAAUCUGAAAUAAGAUAAUAUUGCAUGUCGAAUUAAAAUCCUUUGCUCAAAUCUGCUGCUUGUAGCUGAGCAUUAUAAUUAUAACUUAAUUGGUGUGCUUAUGAUACAUAUUCAUGAUCGAGAAAUAUUUUACCGAAGGGCAUCAGAUAAAAGUUAAUGCAAACUACAUAUUCUAGUGUUUUGUACAUCUCGGUCCUCUCAGAUCACAUGCGAACUGUCGCAUUCCAACACAGCCCGAACGAGCUCGUUCCACAGUGAGACUCGCACGCUUCUUGAUGGUGAUCCAGCUCAGGAUUGCUUGGCCUGAAGCGAAGCUGUCGGUGCCCGUGUUCUGUACGUGCCACCCAUUCCGUCCUUCGAAUUCAUGUAGGCAACAGUGCGAAGCUUGUCUUCAGGUGGAUCAUACUAGAUUUAUAGUACUGAAUCAUGAGAUAAAUUCCUAUGUUUCGCUCCUCAUGAUGAGUAGGAUUUCAAGUGCAGGAGCGCUCGAAGGUGAUCUUUUUUUUUUUGUUUGUUUACUUGGAUGAUAAAGACUCGAGCUUAGCUUACUGGGCACGAAUGAAUGAAUGGAUUAUUUAGUCGAAUAGGCAGCUUUGCAUCACGCUUUUGUCGAGUCACUUAGUAAAACCUUGUGCAGUGUAUGUCCCCAUCUUUCUUCCACGUGAAAGCUGCAACCCUUGCAGACGAACUCUUUGAAUCCCACAUGACAUCCAUACCUCCGGUAGAAAACUUCUAAAUGCAUGCAGAGUUCGAUUGUGGAAGAAAUGCUGCAAGAUGUGCUACAUUUAUCCUGGAAUCAAUUAAAGGUUUCUCUAAUAGCAAGACAACAACAAAUUCUCACUACAACCAACCAGAAUCAGAUCCAUCAUAACAAUGCAGAAAGCCACUCUUCGGUGUUGUCUUCUUGGUUGGGGUUCAGGCAUAACCGCAGCUCCCAUAACCUGCAAAAGGUAAGAGAGAACAAAUGUGUGUGAGAUCUACAUGGGUGUCGUUCGAAUGGGGCACAUGAUCGGAGAUCUCACUUGGGUCGGUGGCGACCACGAGGCCGGAGUUCUUGAAGAAGCAGUUCCACGGGUUCCUUCCUCUGGACUGGUAGUAGAGGUUCAUGGCGAUGGAAGCGUGGGACAUGAGGUUGUCCGGGUAGAAGCACGUGCGGCCCCUCUGCAGCACGCUACAGUCCACCUGAGAGCAGGCGUAGUUGAUGUUUCCCAGAAGAGUUGCUUCGUCCGACGAAGGUUUCGCUACGCACCAAGUUUUCUGCAACAAAGCAACGACAACGUCUGCAUCGACUUCCAUGACAUGGGGUGGAAUGGACAAGACGAGCACAGUUCGGGAAGCAAAAUGCCGAACAACUACAGUUAGUGAGGCGCAUAAUUAGGUCCGUCGGUGUUACCUGCCCCUGCACCGACUGCAUUCCCCCUGUCAUCACAAGGUUUAGAGCAGAGAUCAGAAGAAGAUGGCGACAAACAGCGGCUAAGGGAUCAAGCAAGUCACGAGCUAACCUGUGGCGAAGCAGAUCAGGAGCAGCACAAAAGAGAGGAAGACGAAGGAGGGAGUUCUCGCGGCUCCUCUUGCCAUUUCUCUACCCCUUCUGUUUGCUGGCCGUAGGAGGAGGGAGGAGAUCGAACCUGGUCGUCUUCUUCAGCGUGGAAGCGAGACCGAGAGCGAGCUGUCGAUGAUGGGGGAUAAGAAAGCAAGCUCCCUGACCGGGCCCGGAGUGGGACCCGGUCAGAAACAUGUUAUUAGAGACCUACGAGUCGCGCAUACUCCACGUGGCCUACGUGUCGGUGGCCGCGCUGGUUUGGAUUCUCGGGCGAGCCCGACAAGAUUGCGAAAAGUGGGCCCCAGAGAAACGCCUCGUGACACGAUUUGGGUCCCGAUUCCGUCGCAUCUCCGAUGGCACCUCAGCUUAACGGACCUUUUCGCCUCUCUUCCCUCCGGCGAGCCACAGUGCAACCAAAAAGGAGGGACCGACUCUACUUUUUGCCCUUUGGGUCUCCUCAACGCUGUGAAGAGAACGAUGCUUCUUGUUCUGCGUACAUCACUGCUUUUCCAGCAUUCAUCUCUUCACAUGCCAUCACGUUGCCCUUCCACGGACCGUCCCGUGUUUCCUAGCCUUUGUCACGGUUCAUCCCCAGACAUUUCUGUGUGCCAUGUGAAUGUUCUCUGGUGCAGCAAAUUGCUGCAUUGGCUACUGAUAUCAUGUGCAGACAUUGCAAUCCUGAUAUCAUGGAAUCCACUGCCAAUCUAUACCUUGGUUCAUCAAUACGUACCCAAAUUUGUUGAACUGUCCCACAUGAGCAUGAAGAACACGAAAAUAAAUUAAUACACUUUUAAGAUUGCCAAAUCCACUUGCAUUUGAUUACAUCAUUAGUUCAAUGAACCAGUCUGAUAUACGAUUCUAUAGAAACGCAGAUGUCCGAAUAGUACAACAGAAAGUUUGAUCAUCAUGAGCAACCAUAUAGGUAGGUAAUUUCUUCAGAAGAACGAGGAACCAACUUAGGCGGAAACCUAAGACCCAAAUCUUUCUCUGUCGUGCGGAGAAGAAUAAUCUACACCGGGACCAACUGGAAUUAUCCCAAACGGAUUGAUAGAAGGAUGGCUUCCGUAGUAGUGCUUCUUUAUGUGUGCCAUAUUCACCGUGCUGCUCAUGCCUGGAAUUUGGUAUAUGUCUUUGGUGUAAUUGAACAAAUUUGGAUAUUCACGCAAUUGUUUUUUGUUGCACUUGAAAUGAACAGUAUAGACCUGUGGAAAUCACAUAUAGUUCAGUGAUCGAGUGGGCAUCCGAAAUAACAUACUAUAGUCUAAUGGCCUAAUUUGAUGAUGCUUUUUAAAAGUACAGUCGAUAGGUUGAAAACCAGAAAUCUAUCGAUACCAGUCAUAAACUAGUUUACAGAUACGAGAAACACGGAAGCAUAGUCAAUAUUUAUCCAGAUUCCAAUGCAAAUAAUAAAGCACCUUAGUAGACAUUUAAGACAUCAGAUUCAACAGUAUCUUAAUAAAAACAAAAGUGUCUUCCCCUGUGAUUAGAGCAACCUAUUGAAUCAGAACAUAAAUGUUUUGUUGAGGGUGUGCUUACAAUUCAAUCUAACUAUAAUUGGGGAAGAGAUGGCACUAGCCAUUCCACCAAAAGUUACCAGAUGAAGUUUCAUCUGUAGUUUCAAUGGUGUGAAAUUCAGAUGUGCCACUAAAGGUCUCACAUUGUCUUGUUUUUUAAUUUUUAUUGGUUUCAUGGCAAACAUAGCAAAGCUCCUUCCACCCUUCCUUGGUCCCAGAUAUCUUUGAACCCUUAGAUUUCCAUUUUGUCUCUUGUUAUGAGCCUAAAAGAUUUUCCUUUUUCGAGAUGGGUAUGCAAAUCACAUUGAUUAACACUGGGCCAAACAGAAUGGUUGUGGACAGGCAUUUACAAGAGCUCAGAUAGAUGUCUGUUCUGCUCAUAACUUUCUGAUAGAUGGAACAUUAGCAUACAAACAUGAUGAAUCAGACUAACAUUCUUUUGGUUUCUAAAGGUUAAGCAGAAUUAGUUGUAGUCCAGCUCAUUAAGGCCACAGGCCGCUAAGGUUCAUCCAUAUGUAUGGCCUUUGCCAAUAAGCUAAAUUCAAAUUUCCAAUUAGAAAAAGGAAUAUCAUUUUUUCCACCCAAAUGAGAAACAGCCACCUCCAUGGGUUAAUACUUUGAAGCCAGUGCAGAUAUUAUGGUUAAAACAAAUCAAACAGAUUUAGUCCUGUCUUCCUCACUGGUCAGUGUCAAGGUCACAUGGUUACAUCUUACUCCGGCUAAAAUUAAGUUUCUGACUAGUUAUAUCAUCUUAAAACUUGCUUUUGUCAAAUGCAUAGGACACUGCCUCAAAAUAUUCUCUUAAACAAGUCUUGCAAAACAAUCUGUGCACUGUACAAACAUCAAAAUAGGAACAAUCAGAUGCCUAAAGCAAUCAUUUGCUCACACAAAAAUCUUAUUUUGCAUAUUGAAUUCCAUAAAUUAUACACAAUUGAUUGUAUAUUCUAACAAAAAUAAACCGGAAAAAAGACAAAGCAUCAGCUCACUUUUCAUGAUGUUAGGCUGUGUUAAAUUUUGAGGUACAUACCUCAUCGAACCUGAUGAGAGUGACAAACAAGCGAACGUCAGCUUCAGUUAGCGUAUUCCCACAAAUAUAUCGUUGCUUGCUGAGAGUCUCUUCACAUUUGUCCAAAGCAUCAAAUAAUUUUUCAACGGCCUAGACAACCAGAAAGUAGUGAAAAGGCUGUUUUCAUGAUUUAAAGAUUGAUAGUCAUAUAAUCCACUUCAAGUGAAGGAAAAAAAAAAAUCAGUUGUAGUAGAUAGUUACCUCGUCAUAAGGACCUUGUUUCUUGGCAAAGCCACAUUUGUAUACCCCAUUAUUUAUCGUGUCAUAUAUCCAUUCGUUGACCUCAUCUAUCAAAGCUUGCAUAUGAGAUGGAUAUAAAUCCAGGUCUGCAUUCUCAGCUAUAUCGUUAAACUCGGUGUUGAACAUACGGAUUAUUUCUGCACUCUCAUUGCUCACAAUUGUUUUAAGUUUUUUAUCCCACAGAACCUGCCAAAUAAGAUAAAGCGAAAGGAAGGUCACUUGUUGAGUACACUGAAAGAAAAAAAAAAAAAGUAUAGUUCAAUAGACAGAAUACAUACAGGCACCGUAUAUUUCCCCAUAUAGUUUGAGCUAGCCAGCUCAUAUAAUUCCCUAAUACUUUUGGCUCCAUUCAAGGGAUCAGGUUCAGCUCCAGGUUCUUCUGUACUAGAAGGGAAAACCCAUCCAAAAUGUUCAUCGCUCUCCUUUGUCCUUUCCCAUAUUGGUUUGACAGCCUAUCAGAUGCAAUUGCUCAAAUGUUAUUAUAUAUUUUCCUAAGAUAAACAUUCCUCGGAUAUAGAGAGUCACCGUGUAACUGAUGGCCUUGUCAAGUCCUUUGAGCUUCACAAAUGAAAGACAUCUUGAUGCCCAAGGACAUGCAUAUGAUAUAUACAAGUGAUACCUUCCAGAUUCUGCAGGAAAUUGAGAAGUCUUGUCUUUUGAAAUAAAAUUGCGGAAAGUUGAUGGUGUGCGAUUGAAUGCACCAGAUUCUGUCAUCUCAUCUAAUGCUGAUCGAGCCAUCUUAAGAAUGUAAUGAAAGACAUAAUAUGGUCAAACAAGAAGUGGAAGAAUGUCGAAGAAUAAAAACCUCAUCCAGUAUACAAAAGUGUAACGAAAGUGAGAUGAGAGAAAAUAUUGACAUGUACAUCAAUCAGAAGUUGAUAGGAAAGCAUUAUAGGAUUUGUGAAGAGAAAAUAUUGACAUGUACAUUAUCCAGGAGUUACGGGUGCUGUCAAACCUUGAUAUAAAUAAAAAACAUAGCCCUAACUUUCACAAGGUUGCUUCGUAUUAGUAACUUACAUCCCAGCCAGCAAAACCCAACUAACACAGAAUGUGGUGUGUCAGGAUGCCUUCAGAAUGACAAUACACACUAUCUUAAUGAGACAGUUGCAAGAUGCUGAGAUGAGGCCCAGCACUCAAAACAUUCUGAUGAAUAAGAAGCAAAUAAUAGAGGUUCACAUUACAAUCUACUGCAUCUAUAUUUCAAGAGUUCUAUUACAAUUUUCAGGAGAUGCUUGAAAUUUAGUCUUAUUUAGUAGCUUUCUAUUGUUAAGUUGUAAAAAAAUUGAGUUAACUUUUAGAUGGCUUUUGGGUGGUAAAGUCAUGUCUGGACAUAAGACAACCCAAGUUAGAUAUGAAUUUGAAACACUAGAAAACAAAAAGACCUAUUUUUAUUAGUCGACACAUUUUGGUUAUGUAUACUUCUCGCACUUGAUCCCUGUUUAUUCCAAUUAUUGUAUAGUGUUGAAAAACAGGGUUCCAUACUAUAGACUUCCACCAAAUGGCACGGCACGUCAAAACACAACCAGAACAUAAGACACUGGGUCUGUAUCACAUAACCUUUCUCUAGCACUUGCAUUUACAUGUGGGAGAACAACCGCAAGGAUUUUAACUAUGAAAAGACCUCCCACAUAGCAAUGUCAACAACUCAAACUCAUAAUAUCCAAUGAAUUAAAAGCAAAACCCCUCGAAAGUAUAUUUUCUGCUUCAAGUUAGAUUGAUUAUAUGUUAUUACUUUAUCCAUCACAAUUAGGCAUAUAAACCUUAAUAGUAAUGAAUAUCCAUAGUGGAAGCAAAAUACAGAGAUGCUGCAGCAUUGUGCUGCUUCUACAAUUGGAAUUUUGAAAGAUGCCUCAGUGAUAGUAGCAAUACUCAAUAGAUGCUAGGCGUAAGGAAAGAAUUCUAAACCAUUUUAAGGCAUGAAAUCUAACUCAGUUUUUAGGGGUCUUUGUUCCCGUUCUAUGUUUGCAUAUAAAACAUAGAAUAAUUGCACUACUGAAAGUAAAUUUCUUGUUUGUAAUCUUUCCUUGAGCCAAUUGGAAAUUGUGAUAAGGAACGAUUUUACAUGAUGAUUGGUCUUGAUCAAAUGGAUCAGAGCACAUCAGAAAUUUAGUUGUUUAGUCUCGUUUUCUUGAACCCUCCCCUUCGUGUUCCAGCCUUUGCCCUUUUAAAACGAGCUUGUUCAAAUGAUCCCACUUGAAAAUCCUUUUACUCGAAUCCAUCGGCUAUUUGCUCAUCAUCUCCUUCUUCCACGAAUUCCAAAAUCAAGAGGACCCGUAUCACUCUAUACGAGUAAUCAACAUGGGCCAUCUGCCACAACGACUACAUAUGCCUCGACAAUUACCCUAAAUACCAACUUUCUAUACGAAUAAUAUGAAGGUCAUCUACAAAUCAAGAUCCAUAGAAGAUGAGAAAACAGUAACUUACACAUGUUAGUUCCAAUGGGAGAUUAGUAAGCAAGUAACGCUAGUAAAUUGGCAGGACGCAAUCGCUCAUACAAGCGGGAAAGAAGGGAUCUAAAUCGCACCUUGGAGGAGAAGGAUCGGGUGACGAUGAAGCGAGAACAGGACGAGAUCAUGCAAAGCCCCCCGACGCUGUCAUAAAUCUGUGGAACGGGAAAGUAGAAGAAACCUAAUCUUUCCACUGAUGGAGCGAGGGCGGCGACCGGGAUUGGUGCGUGACGUGGCGGUUGCCCAGCUCCAUCGCCGCCAGGUUGACUACCGGCGGUACGUGAUUCAACUGCUGCACGGCACGUCAUGGCAUAGCAUAGCGGAUCCAAAUCCUCUCCAAUUCUUACCCGUUAUGAACCCUCCGCUAUCGUCUAUAUCCGUGCUCAGCUGGUCACUUCCGCUGUCUAGGUUGAGGCAGGGAACAGUUUUAUCAGCCAUCAGCCAUCCGUCAAUCGUCAUCUUAUCGUUAAGUGCUGCGAACCGUGAUCCCUGGUCGCGACAGGUAAGCCUCAUCCCGUCAGACACAAAACCCAGGGCUACUUCAAACGCGACAUAAGUCACCGCUUCAAUCGCAACCGUUGAUGUGCCCGGCAAGUGGUGCGUGGUAAGGUCCGUCGGCUUCUCUGUGUGAGCCGCGACUUAGGUUUGUCAGAAAGGUCCUGUUUUGACUCGUGCCGGUGAGUUCUCCUUUGAUUGCGUUUAGCCGCAGAUGGGAGAGGCGUUCCGAAUCCCCCGCUAUCCUCUCCGCCUUCCAGCCGUCAAUCGGGUGGCUCAUGGAAGCUCCCUCUUAUGCAGAAAUGUCAUCUGCGUGGAGGUCUUGAAUUGGAUGCCUGUAUCUUUUUGUUUAUCUCACAAAACUAAGCUAUACAAACCACUGAGCUCUUGAGAACGUCCAAAAAAAAGAAAUUGAUCUUUUUACAGCUUGACAGUUCCUCCCAAAAAGAAAAGCUUCCUCAUCCAUAUUGAAAGUCGAUUCAGAUGUUGAUUGAUUUAUAAGAGUUAUUAAUUUGAGUUUGAGCAUUUUUAACUGUGCACGUUGUAGAUGGAUGUAUCAAAGUUUUGUACACGGAUGUAUAAACUUUGAUAGUGUUCAUUCACACAGUGUUUGAGGGAUACUGUGGGGAAAAUAAUAUCUCAACAUCUAAAUUGGAGAUAUAGUCAACAUAAAAUAAAAGAAAGAUAAAAUCGAUCGGAUUGCUACUCUGCCAAGAUGACGUUUCCACCAUUUUUAUUGGACCAGAGCAAGACCACAUCAUCUAAUUCAAGAUUUCUAGUUGCAUCUGGAAGCUUCUUCGCCCUUUGGCAGCGAGAACAGAUGUGUGGUAGCAAACCUCGGAGACACUGCGACCACCGAAAUCGACACAAGAUCCAACGAGUAUCUCACUCUAAGUUGUGGAUGAUGGACUGCCAGACGCUGGAACUCAUCCGCCACCUGAAACUUCAGUAGCCAAUCAAAACCAAGAUAAAGAUUUCCAUGGAUAAGGACUCCCAUCCCCUCUUCUGCUAUUAAACCCCUGCAGCCAUCACCUCUCACAGCAGGCACUCCUCCAAGGCUUUUCCUUCUACUUCACCACCCUCUCCCUGAUCCAACCAUGGCUGCCACAAUGGCCCUCUCCUCCCCCUCCCUCGCUGGUAAGGCCGUCAAGCUCGCUCCCUCGGCCUCCGACAUCCUCGGCGAAGGCCGCAUCACCAUGCGCAAGAGUGCCGCCAGGUCCAAGCCCGUCUCCUCCGGCAGCCCCUGGUACGGCCCCGACCGCGUCAAGUACCUCGGCCCCUUCUCCGGCGAGCCCCCCUCCUACCUGACCGGUGAGUUCCCUGGCGACUACGGCUGGGACACCGCCGGCCUCUCCGCCGACCCCGAGACCUUCGCCAAGAACCGGGAGCUGGAGGUCAUCCACUGCCGCUGGGCCAUGCUCGGCGCCCUCGGCUGCGUCUUCCCCGAGCUCCUCGCCCGCAACGGCGUCAAGUUCGGCGAGGCCGUCUGGUUCAAGGCCGGCGCGCAGAUCUUUAGCGAGGGCGGCUUGGACUACCUCGGCAACCCCAGCCUGAUCCACGCCCAGAGCAUCCUCGCCAUCUGGGCCUGCCAGGUCAUUCUGAUGGGCGCCGUCGAGGGCUACCGUAUCGCCGGUGGCCCGCUCGGCGAGGUGACCGACCCCCUCUACCCCGGCGGCAGCUUCGACCCCCUCGGCCUCGCCGACGACCCGGAGGCGUUCGCAGAGCUCAAGGUGAAGGAGAUCAAGAACGGAAGGCUGGCCAUGUUCUCCAUGUUCGGGUUCUUCGUGCAGGCCAUCGUCACAGGGAAGGGGCCGCUGGAGAACCUGGCGGACCACCUGGCGGAUCCGGUGAACAACAACGCUUGGGCCUACGCCACCAACUUUGUCCCCGGGAAGUGAGAGGACAUGCAUGCUUCAG